rnacentral:lncRNA from 1 species
CAAUUCUCAGCUGAUUGCAGAAUUCAUUACAGAAUCGAUGAAGAGAACAGAGUUAUGCUGUACAUAUUUAUGUAUUAUAUAUAUUUCGUCGUCCCCUCUUAUUAUUCCUUACAGAGUUGGUGAGGGAAACAGAGGCUACCACGCGAAGAGAUCUUACAGCAGAGCUCAAACUUUUGUGGAAAGAGGAAGAAGAAGAGAAAGCAGAAAACAUUAGUAUAAAGGAUGCAGUUUCUUUGGACUUCCCUCAUGGCAAUCACAGUCCUCAAGAACAUGUGCUGCAGACUCCAUAGGCCCCGUCGCAGUCGCUGCCGGUGCCGUCACAGAAGCCGGCGGUCCCGAUGAAGACCGGGCUCCCACGGCCGCUCCGUCGGCGCUUCUUGGGCCCGUCGGCGUCGUCGACGCAGGUGAAUAUGAUCCAAGAGAUGAUGGAGAGCCAUAAGAUGAUCACACAGUACAAGGCUUCUCCUCCGAAACCUUCCGUCCCCAUCGCUUCCAUACCCAUGUCUCCCUCUCUGCUUAGCUUCCAAGCUUUCCCUCCGCCGAGAGGGUGUAUUUAUACGAGGUGUUGCGUAUGGGUUGGUACUCGGGGGAGUGGCGACUCUUGCCGUCUCUCGUACGCUCACCUUGUCAGCGAAUUGACCGAGCGUGGCGUGUCGGAUGGGGCCAAGGAAGUGUUUGCUUAAGAGCUAAGAGAGGCGAUGGAUUUCCGAGUGGUAAUAAGGUUUGUUAAUGAACUCUUUGACGUGAUCAAGCUCUUAUCCUCUCACAAACUGUUGGCGUUCCACUGGGUUUCUCGGUGUGAGCGCAGAGUUCUUGUGAAGCAACCGCGUCAGUCCAUUUCAUGGACGUAACACUCGAUUGCAGACUCAUUAAACACCAACAAAGACAAGCGUCGGAUGGCUCCACCCCGCAGAUUAAUGCCACCGCCUCACCGAAGAAGAAGACGAGUGCUCAUGCGGGUCACACCCCCACCCAUUAUUGGCCUACUGAGGGAGACUGAUGACAAUGACAUUUUUUAUGAGCAGCUCCACAUAGCGAGCUUGUGAAGCUGAAAGAAUAAAAUUAAUUAGGUAAAAAAUAAAGUAUUGAUGAUACGAACGAUUAAAAAAACAGUUUAAAUAAUCCCAUAAGUUUUACAUCGAUUAUUUAUCAUUUAUAUUUGAUUAUUGAUGUCUGGAUUAUACUUUGGUUCCCACACUUUUCAUGACUCUUAAACACACUGUUUGUCUUGUGUUGCUUUCUGUUCUUUCAGACCAAAGGAAACCUGCAACUCUUUUGAGGUCAAGCAGCGGUAGGUGGCAGGUGAUGCUAGAUUUCUACCCAAUGCAUUAAUGGAGUAGCUGAGGGGAUGGCCAAAGCCUUGGCCUUGAAGGUGACAUUUGACAUCUUGUUGUUGCUGCUGGUGUUUCCCUCGCCAGAAACUAAAAUCUAAUACUCAUUUGGUCAAACUGUUGAACAUCAUUGGGUCAAACUAUUCAGCAUAAAUCAGAACCCAAACCUUCUUCUAUUUACUUUCAUGGUGAUUUGAGUAUUUUCUUGUAUGCAUGAUCUAUUAUUUGGUAUGUCAAAUAUAAGUUAAUAAAUUUUUAUAUUUAAUACAAAUUAAUUAUAUAUUAUCUUUUAUAAUUAAUUAUCUUCAGUAUUUUGAUUCUUAUAUUUUUAAAAAUUAUAUUAUGAUCUCUAUAUUUAUAAAGUUAAUUUUAUAAUUAGUUUUAUCUUAGUUCGAUUUAUCAUGUAGUAUUUCCAUCAAUAGAAUUGAUAGUGUAAGGAGAAAUAGAAUUAAAUAUUUUUAUUUUUAUAAUUAUAUAAUAAUAUUUUUUAAGAUAUGAACAUCAUCUUACCAUUAUCAUUCUCAUCACCAUUGAAAAGAAUAUUUUCGCAAUGAAGAAUUUUGUCAACUCUAAUAUAUUUAGUAUUAAUAUUUACAUUACGAGUAUAAUAAUCAUCGGUACUAUUAACAAUAGUGGUAGAAUCUAUCCCAAUAAACUUUAAUAUUGUGUUGAUAUCUAACUAUCCUAUAUAUGUUUUAUCAAUAUCUCCUUCGCUAAUUAAUCAGCAUAUUAUUGGAAUCUAUUUUCAUUAACAAUUAUUAAAAUUAUUUCUUGAAAGGUAAUUUAUAUUCCUGACUUUGUGCUCUUCCAUCUAUAUCUGCAAUAUAUUUUUCCUGAGACAAUAACCAUCACAAUCGAAAUCGAUGACCAACUCUAUAAUCGUGACAUACGACGAUUUCGGAUAGCAAGGUGCAAUCUUAAUCAUAGCUGGAGAAAGAGUCACUUAGGAAGCAAAUGGACAUACUUGCUGUAGGUUCGUACCUCUCCUUGGAGCUCACUUAUGCCUCAGGAUUCGUGCCAUGACAUUAGAUUGACGCCAACCACUUGUAAUAUGUGCAUUGAGCUCUCGCACGGUGGGUCCUGGUCACACGGUUGCGGUUGUACCUAAUCGCUUCGUGAAGUCGACAUGGCAACCAACCGCACCACUCCCAAACCCAACCACAUAUUAUAUAUAUAUAUAUAUAUAUAUACACCUCACAAUCUUCUUUUUUUUUUUUUUCCAUUCUUCAAGGUAUAAAAAUAUAUUAUAAAUAAAAAAAUUAAGGAGAACUCUCCUUUUUUGAAUUACUUAAAUCCACAUUUUGUAAUUUCGGAUUAGUGAGUAUUGAAGGGACUAGAUCGAAAAAUCUCAAUCGACCUCGGUUUUCGUAUAGGUACUAUCUUAGGAAUAUAAUAAUUCCACCUUAGGAGUGCAAUACUUCCACUUUAGAACCAUCUCGGACAAUCCUACCCACAUAGGUCUGAACCAUAUCGAACUAACCAAGAUAUUAACGAUAUUUUCCUUUAAUAUUUUGAUGCUAGAAGGAGGGUCCGAUGUCGUAGGAACAUUUGCCUACCAACUCUCUCAACAAACGUUCUAACGAGAAGUCCCCGCCUUUAACCCAUAGCACUUUUAAUCAGGAGGUAACUAUUAUCCUUCCCACAAGUGGAUAUGUCCAUCAUGAUAGGAAAAUAUAAGAUCUGCUACGAUGGAGAAGGGAUAUUAAAUUCACCACGAUGAAAAGAAAAUUUGAGGCCCAUCAUGGUGGGAAGACCUGAGAUCCGUUGUUGUGGAGAAAGGAUAUGAAAUCUAUCAUGGUGAAAAAUAUAUUUUAAGCUCACCAUGACAGGAAGACUCGAGAUUUGUUAUGAUGGAGAAGGGACAUGAAAUAUGGCAUGGUGGAAAAAAAAUUUAAAGCCCACCAUAAUGGGAAGACCCGAGAUCCACUACAACAGAGAAGGGACAUGAAAUCCACAAUGGUGGAAAGAAGAUUUGAAGCUCACCAUAGUGGAAAGUCCUAAGAUCCAUUACGAUGGAGAAGGAAUAUGAAAUCUAUUAUGACGGAAAGAAGAUUUGAAGCCCACCAUAGUGGGAAGACUUGAGAUCUGUUAUGAUGGAGAAGAGACAUGAAAUCUACCGUGGCUGAAAGAAGAUUUGAAGCUUGCCACGAUGGGAAGGCUCGAGAUCCGCAAUGGCAGAGAAGGGAUAUAAAAUCCUCUAUGACGAAAAGAAGAUUUGAAGUCUGCCAUGAUGAAAAACCCGACCCAUAUCAAGAUAAAUCUACUACGAUGAAGGUGGAAGGCCGAAUGCGCCCAAGAUGCAUAAGUCAAGAAAAUCCAAUCGAUAAUAAAAUAAAUCCACUGCGAUGGAGGUGCAAGGCCAAAUGCUCCCGAGAUGUGUGAAUUAGGAAAACCUGAUCAACACUAAAAUAAAUUUGCUAUGACGGAGGCACAAGGACGAAUGCAUCCGAGACGUGUGAGUUAGGAAAACCCAAUCAACAUCAAAAUAAAUCUGCUAUGGUAGAGCUGCAAGGCUAAAUAGGCCCGAGAUGGGUAAAUCGAAAAAACUCAAUUAGCACUAGAAUAGAUCUGCUAUGACGGAGGUGCAAAGCCGAAUAUGCAUGAUACGUAUGAGUUGGGAAGACCCAAUCAGCAUUGAAAUAAAUCUGCUACGAUAGAGGUGGAAGGAUGAAUACACGUAAGACACGUGAGCCAGUAAAACCCGAUCAACACCAAAAUAUGCUGGCAUGUGUUGCACUGUGACGAAAAGUGGAGUAGGGAGCACUGAUGUAAACAAGGGCAACUUCUAAUGAUUGAACUAAUUGGGGAGAAACUGGAAGCUAACAAUGUGGACUUCGAUCAUAAAGGUAUGGAUUCUAAUGAAGAUGUUGGACUUAUCAUAUAUACAGUGCGUACAUUAGCUGACUACUCUAACCCAUAAACUAUAAAAGUUGUAGGAACUUUGGAAUAACAACAUGUUAUAGUUUUGAUUGAUAUUAGUAGCACUAAUAAUUUUAUGUACAAUAAGGUUGCUAACCGAUUGACCUACCACAUUGAAGGCUGUGACAAAUUCGAAGUAAAGGUCACUGAUUGAUGGAUUCUAACUUGUGGUAGCAAAUGUUCGAAGAUAAAGUUGAUUAUAUAGGGUCAAUAGUUACUUGUGGACUUCUUUUUGCUACUCUUGGAAGACUUCGAAGUGGUGUUUGGAAUUGAAUGACUAUCGACCUUAGUUGAUGUUUCUUGAAAUUUUUCUAAACUAAUUAUAAAGUUUUUUUAUUAAUAGAAAAUAGGUGAUCCUAAAGGGAAGACGUAGAAAUAAGGUCACAACUGUCACUAGCCAUCGAGUGAAGACAAUUUUUCAGAAGACCAUAAUGACUACUAUACCAAAAGAUCGACCUAUUGCUUAUACUAUCAAAAAAUAGUGACCAUACUUGAUUAACAAAUUGUGAUGCGCCGUAGAUACCUUGUGAUUGAAGUGCUAAAAGAGAAGCUCUUUGAGUUUGAUGCUACUCGGCCUUGAGGACAAGGCUGGUUUGAAGGGGGAGGAAUUAUUAGGAUCCCUUUAUUUUUCGAGCUUUGAAUAAUGUUUUAUUGAGUUGGUCUAGUUCAGUCUUUUGAUAAAUUUAUUAAUGAGGAUAGAUGAUGUUGGGUUAGCACAUAUGUGGACCUUCUUGUAUAAAUCAUUAAAUCUUUUUGUAUAACUCUCCAAGGAUUCCAUCUCCUCUUGCCUAAUGGCUAGGAGAGAGGUUAGCAAACUACUAACGUAUGACUCCCCUUAAGGUCAUUGGAAAAUUCUAACAUAUGAGUGAGUUAGUGAUUCCAAAUAAUGUCAUUUGAGAUGUGAAAGACAUAAUGUAUUCUGAAGAGACUUUCCUUCGUAUACAUCUAGUGACGGAAGUUGUAAACCUUGGGGGAUUAGCUCUUCAUUGAUAUUUUUGGUGAAAGAAGAUCUCUAAGUAUGAUUCCACUUCUAGCUAAUUUCCUUGAUCUCCUUCAGAAUAUCUUUCAAUUAUCGAUUUAUUUUAUUAAGUUGCUCUUAGACUUUUGAGAGUUUGAUUGACUAAGCAAUCAACUCGUUCGGAAUAUCUAACACAAGUCCCUAAACUAAUGGAGGGGAUUAUACUUCUUAUAGUACUAGAGCUUGGGCUGGGUAGGACUCAAUUGAUAGGCUUGGGAUGCAGAUAGAUAGUUGAACGGGUGUAGGGAAUGAAGUGAAUGAGGCAAAGAGGUACUUGUUGAAUAAGUUGAGAAAGUUAAUGAAGGUAAGGGGCUACAAAUUAGACUAUUAUGAUUAGCAUUUGUACUUGUUGAAUCAUGUUGUUAAAAACUUCAAUUAGGAUAAUCAUAGUAGGUUGAGUUGGUUAUGGAUGUGGAGGGAGUUGGAGGAAAAUCGAGUCUUGAAAAGGACGGUAGAAGAGAUUUAGCUCAGAUAUUUGUGGUGGUGGGUUCAAAUCGAUCAACACAUUGAGUUUGUUUGGGAUCAUUGAGAUUGGGGGGUUCGACAUAGGUGCAUUUGGAGCCUUCAAACUAGGUCCAUUUUUGGGAUUCGACUCCUUGAGAUUUGGAUGACUAGGGCCUGUAAAGUUUUCCUAAGACAUAAUCAACCAUCAUUGUGGUACCAAACUGUUAUAGUAGAUUAUGAUUAUCCAACUUGGGAGUUAAGUUAGAUCCAACUUGGUUUUUCUUCAAGCUGACCUCAUGAAACUUUGCUUUGUUGGACGAGCACCGAAUCCUGUAAAAUUACAUCGGAGGCACUCUCGACAAAUAUUCAUUCGAAAGUUUAGUCACUAACUAGUCAAAUAGGUUGGAUUAGUUGAAACGAAAGAGUAUGUCUAUAUAUAAACUUGGAGACUCCUUUUUAUAGUGGUCACUCAUAACUGUUAUAUCCAUUUAUUAUACAAUUAAUACGAUAAUGGAGGGUUGAAAUUUACUAAAAUCAUCACCAUCUAGUGUUAAUUCAGGACUAAACAAUUGUCUCCAAGACAACCAACUGAAUUUAUUAAUUAAUCGAUUGUUUAGAGUUGGAAUGAUCGGAGGCUACUAAUUCACUAAGCAUAUAGAAUUGACAUGUUUUUCAUAUCAUAUACUAAAUGUUGACCAUUGUGAUUGGUGGGUUAAUUACAUAUUAUUAACAUGUCAAUUGAAUAAGAUCAAACAUAUUGAUUUAUGAAGCCGACAUGUUCAUCGUGCCAAUUCUACCAAAUCAAAAAAAGAUAAGCCUCUAAGUUAAAAUCGAUAUCACUAAAUCAAUAUUUUAUGUAUCAUAAAAUAUGUUAGGUUGGAUUUCGAACCAUAACCUUUAAAUACCUUCACGUUUUAUAUAAUUACUUAAUCACCCAGUCUGAUAAUUACCGUGCCUUACACGAUGGAUUCAAUUUGCGGCCCCACCGCCCCUAUGAUUCAACCAUUAGGUAGGUAAACAAACGGGUACAUUGACCAAGUAACUUUUCCCUCCUCACAUCUCUCUCUCUGUCUCUCUCUCUUUAAUCUCGACAUGAUCCCCUUCUCCGUGCCGUCUCUUCUUCAUCCAUCUCCUGUUUCUUGUUUCUUCGUCCUCCCCCAACAACUCUUUUGCGCAUUUGCUCUUCUCGAGAUCAAUAGCAAGCCGAGGGAUUCGAUCGAUCGGAUCAAUCAUCAUGUGCUGCCCGAGCAAGACCUGCUGCUGCUUCUUGCUGGUGCUGGUGAUCCUCCUCAUCGGGUUCGUCUUCGGCUUCGGCGUUUUCGCCCACGGAUUCCACAAGAUCAAGGACUCCCUGCACGUGGAAGCAGAGAGCGCCGUCCCCCAUGGCCGGCCCUUCUUCACCGGUGCCGCCUCCCCCCCUCCAUUCUGAACUACUUUCUUCUUCGUCGUAGAUUAUUAGACCUCUCUGCAUUCUUACCCAUUUUUUUCCGUGCUUAUUGUGACUCGGUAUAUCAUUGGCUUUGAGACGCUUUUCCCGCUCCCCCCCUCUCUUUCCAAUUACUGUGAUCCGAUCCCUUAUGUAUGCUUAAUUUGCUAUUUGGAUCUGCGUCCUAAAAAAAAGUUUUACUUGGAUCUUCAAAUUAAAAUGGUUUUGUGGUUUGAUCGGUGGAUGUGCCCUGCGAGAAUGCAGCUGCCGCCGAGGAGUAUUAUUAUCCUAUCCAACUUGCAAAUGAAAGCAUAAAUGUCAGGUAGCCGUUACUUGACGUCUUUAGUUACUUUAGAUGAUGAGCAAGAUUUAAUUAUGCAUUUCAUCUGUAGAGUUCAGGCCACAUCACCUUUUUCAAGUUUCUGUGUGUCAGAGAUUUGAAACACGAGAGAAAAAGAUAAGCACGAAUUUUACGACUUUUUUUCCCCUCUUUUUUUGUUCUUUUGCCAUUGUUUAUCGAACAAGCGUUACGUUGCUGCUGUCACCGUACUAGUAGCAGAAUUAAGUAUGUAUGUGGGGUGGGUUAGUUGGGCAUUUGAAGACAACAUGAAAUGGUGAACGGGAAAAAUGAGAGAGAGACUGACGUACCUGUAAGAAAGUUAAAGCAGCUUUUUGCCUCUCCUCUAAAGCAAAAUUGAGUAUUCUGGGACGUUUGAAGUUGCUGCGUGGAAGCAACUUGCGAGUUUGAUCCACCGGAGAGCCUCAUUACCUGUUAGAACAAUUAUGUACAAGAAUAUUUAAUCUGAAUAAUUGUCAAUAUUCUCACGCAUGUAUCAAGAUUCUUAUGUGCCAGACAAAGGUGAAGAGACUUGCGAAAGUGUCUUCCAACAACAGUUGAGCAGCGAAACUAAAAUAAAAAUGAAUUCUUGAAGGAAAUCUACGGCAACGAAGCGAUUUGGAUCUAUGCAUGGUUGGAUCUAUGCAUGGUCGAUACGGGCGGUACAUAUCGAUCCGAUAGCGUAAUGAAGUAUCAGAACUACAGUGCUACACUAUAAUAGUGCUACAGUAAAAAAAAAAAAAAGAUAAAACUAUUCGAUACACCCUGGUGUAUCGCUCGGUACGAUAUUACAUAUCUUGAAUCUCUGUAUAUUAGAUCCUUGCAAGUUACGAAUAUUCAGAUUUAAAGGAAUAUGCCAUCAUAUAAAUUAAUGAAAUGAUAAUGUGGCUGAUGAAUUUAAAAUAAUAAUGAAUGUGCGGAGGGGAAAAUUUGGGUUUUCCUCUGAAAAAAAUUUCCAACAUUACCAAUCUCCAGUUUCACCUGUCAGUAAAACGACCGAGAAAACCAAUUACAACCAAAGCUUCAACUGUUGAUUCAGAUCACCCAAAAAUCAACCGAAAAUUCAUAAAAACAUCAAAGUUUCUAAGAUGUAGAUGAUUGAUAAUUGAACACUUCAAUCAAAUUUGGAAAUUGUUUCAGGCACAUAGAAAAAAAUGAGUGGGCAUUAACUGGUGGAUCGCCAUGAUAGACGUACAUGGGGAUGAUAUAAUGUCUGCCAUGCUGCACAUUCAACACUCCAGCAUCUAGAUGGAACCAACAACCAGCAAACACAGUAUAUCAAUUAGGAGGAUACCGAUAACAAAUAAGGAAUAGUAUCGGCUGCAGGAUUUCUUUUUCUGAUGCAGGAGCUCAACUGCAGCAACCACCAGCUUGAGCUGAGGACCCAUCCCUUCCCCCUGAUGGAGCUGCAGUUCCUCCAUAUCCGACUUUGAUUCCAUAUGACUGCAGCAAGAAUAUAUACUGAUUAAAAGAGGUGGUGGAAUCUUAAUUAUUUCGACACAAGGUUAUCUUAACAUGAAAGUAAAGUCUGUGGGCAUAGAUGUUACACUGCUGAUGACACUAGAAUGGCAUCCUGUUUUUUUUUUUUCUUCUAAAAGGAAAAAUUGUAAUUACUUGCAGAAACAAAACAACAACCUCCCCUUAUACAGAGAUCAUCAGUAACAAAAACAAGCAGAGGGCUAGUCUCCUUGCAAAAACUGAUUAUAUUUAGGAGAUCUGCAUAAUUGGCCAACCAAUUAGCCACUCUAUGACUUUCCCCAAACACAUGCCUAAUAGGAAGGAUCAAAAUUCUGUAAGAUUGAGAAUGUCUUUGAUUACAUUCAAAAUAUUCCUAGGAGCUGUACUCAAUGUCAUUAUGUUAAUAACAUAAUCGCCGAUUCACCAUGGUGAACAAUGAAAUAAGAUGAACAUCUGAAAUCACAUCAUUGUCAUCAAAUGCUCCACUUUCACAAUGCUAUGAUGCUCCAUCAAAGAUGUUAGACUGCACAAUCUAGACUACAUAUGUUUACCACUUUUUUAGCUUUUUCAAGACAAGAAAACAAGUGACCCGUUUUUUGCCUACUAGGAUCAACAAUUCUCUGGUUGAAUAUGUGCAUUUAACUUCAACAGGGAUAGGAGAUAUCAAUUGAUAGAAACCUGUAUUUAUCAACUGAAUGCAAAUACGCGAAACACACUGGCUUAUGUCUGCUAGAGUAUUAUUAGCAUUAAGUUUGUCACUUCAAAGUUCAGGUCCAACAUUAUCAAAUUUACCUCAUUUGAUACAUCAAACACGCCAUCCUGGAUUUUUUUGUAUAUUGUUGCUGCAGUGCUAAUAAAUGCCUGUGACAGUGACAGAUAUUAGAACAAGUAUAGAAUUAAUUGGAUGAUAAAAGUACUAUCAGAGCAACAAGGCUCUAUCACCUCCUCAACAUUCUGUGCAGUUUUUGCUGAGGCCUCCAUGAAGAUUAAUCCAUGCUCUUUGGCAAAUUGUUCUCCUUCCUCAGUGCUGACAGCUCUUCUGUGAGCCAGGUCACAUUUGUUACCAAUUAGCAUGAUUGUCAUAUUAGAAUUGGCAUGUUGCCUUGCUUCUUCGAGCCAGCUUGCAAGAUGAUUGAAUGUCUCCCUCCUGAUAAUAAAUCACGAAUGAGCAAAUUCACAUUAGUAAAGUCUUAUAGCAAUGCAAUCCAAAUCACUUACUACCUAGUGAUGUCGUAGACAAGCAGUGCACCAGCUGCACCUCUAUAAUAGGAUCUGGUAAUUGACCUAAACGAUUCCUGACCUGCCUGAAAUUUUCAAAAACUUUGAAUCAGGUGAAUUAUCAUGCCAGUUGACGAGGCACAUCUUGAAUUGAUGAAAAGAACAACCAAAACCACACAGUCCUAUAUCUGUAACACUGAUCAAGGUUACGAGCAAUGCCAAUUUCUUGAUUGACGGAUGAAAAAGGCUAACCCUAUCAAUACCAAUUUCUUGAUUGACUGAUGCAAAAACUACACAUAGAAAACAAUAAAAUUGACUAUAAAUUUGUUAAGACACAUUAAUUUACUUCCAAAUCAAUCAUAGCAGUCAGACACUUUAGUUUAACUAAAACUCCACUAAGAGUUUCACUGAGCAUUCGAUUCUAUCAGACCACCAAACAAUCAAGACCAUCUAAUUGGAAUACAUCAUAAAAUUCAUUAUAACAUUUCUGUAUUAAGCAACUAUUGAUGGUAAAGUAACAUAUUGUUUAUUAUAGUGCUGCAUCACGGUUAAAGAUGAAAGUAUCAUAGAGUUUCUAGGAAUGUACAUAAAUUCCAGGGAAACACUGGCCACGCAGCUAAUCUUAUAACAAAUAGAUGUUGGAUGGGAAGAAGAUGAACAAGAUUGUUGGAACAUGAGGCCUUUCUUGUGUAAUUUACAUAUGUGUCUUUAUACCAUCUCCAAACCCCUCUAACAAAUAAUUGAUUUGAGAGACAACAUUAAGUCAAAAGAAACAAAUGUGAAAAAUAAGAGAAUAUGAUGAUACUAACCGUGUCCCAGAUCUGCAACUUGAUGGGCUUGUUGUCAAUGGUUAUCAUUCUGGCUCCAAAUUCAACACCAAUUGUUAAGUCAUGUACUGGUUGGAAACGCUUGUCCGUAAAUUGCAGAAGAAGACAUGAUUUCCCCACUCCUACCAAGGUAAAAAAUUGGAGCAUUGACAAAUAAAUGUUAAAUAGAAUUCUCUUAAAGUGAAUUUAUCGAAUUUGAUAUGAAGUAGCAACACACAAAAAGGAAAAAAAAAAGAGACUAUUCCAUAGAAUUCAUAGAACGAAAACAUUGUAAUUUGAUAUGGUGCAAUACAAUCUUGACAAAAAGCAUGAUCUCAAGAUCUUAUCUCAUAGAUCUAGACAUCAGAGAAGAACUCCAAGGAACAUAUCAAAGGAACACCAAAAGGAAAAGCCCACAGUGGUAAAGGCGUGACUAGUAAUGCAACCAAAAGAGUAAAUCGCAGCAUCGAGACAGAUCAUUACCGACAGAAACCACAAAAAUUCACAUAUAAUGAGAAGAAGAAAUCGGAAAAAUCAAAAGAAAUCGCUCCAUUUUCACAAUUUACCGACAGAAAUAUUAGAUUUUACCAUCCAAACACGCAUAUAAAAGCACCCAAUGCGUAGAUGCAUCCUUCAUAUGAAAAACCAGAAAACAAACAGAUCGCCGUCUUUUUUUGGCUAUCACCGAAGCCGAAAUCGAGAGGAAAGAACCUGUAUCGCCGAUGAUGAUGUAUUUGAAGAGGUACGCGUACGACAUCGCGAUGGGAUCCCAAUUCCCCCCGAAAUCUCCCCUCCUAGAAUCGACCAACCGAGGCCAAAAGCAGAGAUCAGAGAUUGAAGCAGAUCCAGAGGAGGAGAGGAGAGGAAGAGAGAUCGACUCGAUCGAGGGGUAACCUGUCGGGUUUGCGUCGAGAGAGGGGUGAACGCGUCGGCCAGCCUCUCUCGUUCGUAUUUUAAGGUCGUUAUUUGGCUGUCGCUUACUCCCACCGUGACAAAGGUAACAGAAACCCACCCCACAAGAAACCCAUCGAUGGCUCGUCCAGUAACUUCGAUUCUCCUAUCCACAACCUUCCAUCUCACUUGUCCCGUCAUCACAGCCGUCUAUUGAUCCGAGUCCCGUUCACUGAUGGUGGGUCCCUGCGCUUCUCGUCUCAUGCGAUAAAUGGUAUGGCAUACGGAGAUAACGAGGCAUCGAACGUCGAGAUGAGAUCCUCCACCACUUUCGGGAAUCCGAUCUGCAUUUAUUUGGAUCGGAAUUGCCCAAAUCUGCAGAUUCCGAGUCCAAUUCUCGUCAGGGUCACAUCGGAUUGAGUUCGCUCUUGAUUCGUCGACGGGCGUCGCUCCUCUUCUCGGGUGUAAACGAGGGUUCGCGAGAGUUAACCGCACGACGGGGACGGGGAUAGCUGAAGCAACCGUUCUCCUCCUCCAGCCGUGCUAUUCGAGCAGCUCCCUGUCGUCAUGCCUAGGAUCGAACUCCUCGUAUAAUGCCUUCACGCGAUUCGAUUCGGUCCGCAUAUUUUCGAAAGUUUUGAUCUUUAACGAAGAUGGGACGUAUAGGGCAAUUCUUUUUCCUUGAAUGUAGUAGCUUAAUACUUAAUGUUUUCCUUUCUAGCGUGAUCUAGAUGGGAGUAGAUGGAGAGAGUUUUGAUGAUGGUGGAAAAAGUUCUGCAGGACUCGACGGAGGCGACAGUAUCGGUGGAGGUUCUGUGAUGUGGUCUUGGGAAAGGUGGAUGCAAGGUAAAGUUUGACUCUUUUAGUGUCCCACGGUUUAUUUGAUUGCUUAUUGCUACGAUUUCGCCCAAUGAACUGUGAAAAUUAUCUGGCUUUUGUUAAGGUUCCUUUAGACGAAGACCGAAGUUUUUCUUGAUGUUAUGGGUACAUUCUUACGUAGUUUAGAAACUUUUUGGUCCAUUGGACACCAAAGAUCAUAACUUCUGUUGAAAUUAACAAGUCAAGCAAUGUUUUAGAUCUGGAUUUAUCCUUUGCUGGUUGUCAAGGAAUUAAUAGUUAAGACUGAUUUUAUGUUCUUUCUAACAAUUGUAGCUUAUUCGGACACAAAGACCCUAUACCAUUCAGUUAGCCAAAGCAAAAUUUGAAGUUAAUAAACAUUGAAGGGAAAAAAUCUGUAUAUUUUCCUGUGUUAUCUCUUACUUUCUUAAUAGGGAAAGGUGACUAUUAGAUAGAUUAUGCGUCUCCUUCAGAAGCAUCACAGUGACUAUGGAGGUAAUCUUCUUCCCUUUCAGAAGCAUCAAAAUUCACAUUUUCCCCUAAGAUUCAAUUAGCAUUAUUUAUAGCUUGAAGCAGCCUUUCACCAGAUGUUGAAAACUUUGGCUUUUAGAUGAGAAAAUAAAUUUAGUUGGAUAGCAGCAGCAUAAAAUCCUCGAGUCCUAAUUUUUUUAUUUUAGUUACAGGCAUUCUUUUGGUUGUUCAGAUCCUGGAGGCCAUAUUCUAUUCAAAGGCUCUGAUAUGUUUUAUCUCGCCAUUCCAAUUAUGCUCUAAUCUCUCUUUCUCUCUCUCUCUCUCGCUCUCUAUCAUCCAUUCACUUACAGCUCAUCUGGAAUUUGAAUGAACCAAAUCUACGUGUUGGCCCAUUAGGUGACAUAAUUUUGUGGUUAUCACACCUGCCUCAUACAAUUUUUUUUGUCUCAAAAUACUUGUGUUACUUCUGAUCUAGUGAACAUAUAACAAAAUCGUGUUCCCUUCUAUGCCAACAUAUUCUUCUUAGUUCUUAUUAUGCCAAUUCUCUGGAUAUAUUCUUUAUUUCUUGGCGUUUUGCUUAAAACGGUUGACUGUUAUUAGUGCUGUCUUAUACAUUUUAUGUGGGGCAGCUCAGUGUAAACUUAGCAGAAAACACACAGGAAUCACUAGUAAUUACCUCAGACUAAAGCAGUCUAGUCAAGAGAUCUCCCACUUGCAUUUGUCAGGAGAGGAUUUACCAGGGUAGAGCCAGGAUAGUCAUGCAGUAGGGCCACGAGUCUAAUGGAAAUUUAAUUGAAUCAUUUGAUUGUAAUGAUUGCUAAGAAAAAAAAAAUAGUUAUGUUAUAGGAUACAUGGUUGUGUGUAUGUAUCAAAACAGAUGCUAUCAUAGACAACGAUUACUGGACAUGAGUGAAACAACUCAUAUACUAUAAUUCUCUCUUAUAUAUUUAAGCACAGAUGCUGCAUCAAAAAUCAUUUUGCAGCAAAAUACAAAAGCAAGAGAUACUAUGAAUUGUAGAGGUUUAAAAGGAUAAAGAAAAGCUUACUUUCCAGUGAUCAAAGAACAACAACUAACUUGGAAUAUUUAGAACAUAUUUAAAUAAAAUAUUUAGUACAAAGGUCGUGUACAUUGGCCAUCCUGGAUCUUGCAUUGGCAAGAGCCUCAUACAUUAGAUUCACCCAUUCUUCUUUUUGAUAGUUGAAUGAAAUAUUUAAUUCGUCGACACAAGACAGCAUGACCUUCAUGCUCCAUAGUUCAAGACAAGCACUACGAAAAGCAUGUAUCGAAAUGCUGUUGAUACAGCUCAAGUUCUUGCACCUGAAUGAUGCGUGCCCACUUCUAUGCCUCGUUACAUCAUUUUUGGUUGAUGCACAAGAAAAUUUUAUGACGAUAAGCCUAGAAUUCUUUACCAAAUUAUUCUUCCAGAUUGAAUUACUGAUUAAUCAAGAUUUUACAACUGCUCUGUAUGGCUAUUAUUGAAGUUUUUGUACUUUGGACUACACUUCUGUACCGCAGUCAAUUUUUCAUCAGACUUGUUGUCAUCAUGGGUUCCUCUUCUCUUUUAUUUCCUGUCACUGCAUAGAGCAGCUGAUUGAAUACUUUAUCUUCUCCUCCAUGGUAUCACAUAUGGAGCUCCUGAUAAUAAACCCGUUUGGCAGUUUCCAGGAAAGAAGUUUAUAAAAACAAAGAAACAACAGCUCAAUUUUGUUGCUUUUCUUCACUCAUUAGUACUCUUUGAUGAGAUAUCUGUCUUAUCUUUGUCACUUGCAGUUUUGCUGUCUUCUCUCUUUUUUAUGUUUCUUCACAAAAGUCAGAUCUCUUCACUUUGAACUCUCCCACUUCAAGUCUUGCUUUAUUGAACUGUUUGUUUCUGCUGGAGAACCUAAAAAUUGCAAGGUUCCAUUUAAUUUGCACCCUUGUAAACUACCAUAGAAGCCAGCAAAUUCAUGAUUAGCGGUUGUCUGAAAAUGAAUGAUGUCUGGGUUCAUGCAUGUAACUGCUUCUAGAUGGUUUGAACUGGAAUAAGUGGUGCCAUUAAUGAUUGCUUUGUUAUUUCUAGAUCAACUUAGUCUAUGGAUUCAUGCAUAGCUCCAUGUUUGCUUCUAUAAUUCAUCGCAAGUUACAAAAGUAUUUUUUUUUUCUUUUCUUACACUUUUACCUCUCUUUCCUGCAGCAAUUCUUCUACAGAUCACAAGCAGUUGAUACCAACCAACUUCAAAUUGGGAAGCUCAAAGAUUUCCGGAUCAAUCUAUUGAAUGAUUAAAAACUCUAAUUGGAAACACAUGGUGCCUUGUUUUCCGCCCUCAACUUGGAACCAAGUAGUCAUCUCAAACUUGGAGCAUGGUCCAUAUGUGUACCAUAUUUGAAGAACAAACUAUGUUCUAAACAGAUGAUUGAUUUCUCUUACAGUGUUGAACUUUGUGCUGCCUUGAAGUUGAUAGAAAUCUCAAGUCGUCCUCCCGCGGUCUCCACAGUUGGCAAAAGCUGCUAUCAAAGCUCUUUUUCAUAUUAGCUCCUCUCCAAGUCAUACUUUUCCACUUCUUUUGCCAUGACAUGAGCAGCUUCUCCUUUCCUAUUCAUGGAAGGAAAUUUUGGGACUGUUACUGGAUGAUAAAUAAGAAUUAUUUAUCCUUUAAGGAUUUGAAAUACCAUAUCUGCCCUGAAAAUUUUGACAGAUCAAAUAUGUUCCAGUCUUUGACAGAAAUUGUCUAAGCUUGUACUCUUAAGACAUCAAACUUUCUCAAUUGUCCCUGUACAACUAUAAAAAAAAUCGCAUUCAUUUACCAACCUCAUUGUCUGUGAUUUAUGCCUCUCAAUCAACACAGCUUUGAUUGUGAAGUUGGUGGUGAAGCCAAUUGCAAACCAACUUUAAUAAUUAACAUUGGCCCCAUUUGGUCCUUCAAGACUGGUCCUUCAAGACUGACCAAUGUUGAUGGCAGAUAAAAAAGGGAUGAGAAUGAGGAGGUGGAGAGAUGAUAAAGAUGAAAUGAAUAUUUAGAUAAUUUUCUCUCAUUAAAACAAUUCUCAGAACAUGUCUUAUCUAACAUUUACUUGGCAAGGAAAUAUGAUUUUUUAAGGUAUAUUAUGAAGCUGAUUGUAAGUAUGAGGAAAGAAUGCCUUCAUUAAAGGAAACCUUAAAGGCAAAACUAUUUUAUGUGUUCAAAACAUUGGAAGUCUCCUAUUCUAAGGAGAAGGAUGAAAUUUCAAGCAUUCAACCAUUGAUAAGUUUGAUAUAAAAGUUGAUGAUACCAAAUAUUUUUGCUCCCUAUUCUCCUCCCAAGAACUGCUCCUUUCUUUAUAUUUUAUAUUGUUCUUGUGUUAGAUCUAAGUUUAAGAAUUUAGAUCUGAGAUCUAAUCAUUCAUGAGCACGCCACCUGGGAAAGGUCUACACUAGAUUCGCAAACAAGCAGACCGCUGUCGGUGUACGAACAUCAACAAGUCCUCCUUACUCGAUGACGAAGUCAACAGAAACCAUUGGCCGCAAUCUGACCAAUUCCAUGCGCUUCUGGCUAUCUUAACACUCAAAUGUUGCAUGUUGACUUUGUAUCUCUAUCUUCUUCUCCGAGUCUUCUCCUCCACAUCGUCACAUUAAUGACACCGUGUGUAUACAAGGCACCACAAUCUUCUCACCGAACCCAAGACAUCAGUUUCUUCUCCUCCAAGUUACAUAGGUACCGCAAUCCUUCUCGUUGAAGCCAAGACAUCAGUUUCUUCUCCAUCCAUCAAGAACAGGGAACAUGAAGGUACGCAAUUGUAUGCUUAUUACAUGUACUGUUUCCUCUGUUUCGUUCUGAGAGAAAGCAGUAUAUUUUUUGUAUAGUUAGAUUCGAUAAUCUGCUAACCGAGGAAUCAUAUGCAUUCAUCAAUCCUUGCAGCAGAAGAUAGUGAUCAGAGUGCAGAUAAAGUGCGACAAGUGCCGAUCCAAAGCCAUGCAGCUCGUUGCUGAAGCAGGUGCGCUGCAGAACAGAGAUGACGAUACUGUUGUUCAUCAUAUCAUCUCGCAUUAAAACCUUUCAUGAUUGUUGCAGACGGGGUUGAUUCAGUUGCGAUAGAAGGGGAGAACAAGGAUCAACUGGUGAUCGUCGGCGACGGCGUCGAUCCCGCCAACGUAACAUUAGUUCUGAGGAAGAAAGUUGGCCGCGCGACCAUAGUGAAGGUGGAGGAAGUGAAGAAGGACGCAGAGAAGAAAUCAGAAACCACGGUGCAAUGGUAUCCCAAUUACCCUCCGUGUCCUCAGACGGUGUGGUAUGAUUGUGAAAGCAGUAGCUCUAAUCCAAAUGCUUGUUCCAUCAUGUAAACAAUGGAUCAUGGAGGUCCAAAAACAUACCUGCUUUGCUGCUUUGAUUUCAUGCUAGGAAAUGCCAAGGACAUGAUGCUGUUUGCGAUUCCAUGCGUCAUCUAAUUUGUUUGUUUCCUCAUUAAAGUUCGAGUAAUAUAUUGAGAUAUUAUUAAUGUCUUUGGAGUUUGUUUACUAUUUUAUUAAAUUCAUCACUGUGUUGAAUAAUUUCAUCCUUAUCUUCAACGUGUGAAUUUAUCGAAAAGAAGAUAAGUAUAUAUAAUAUUUAAUUAAAGAUUAAUUAAUUAUACCUUCUUAAAGAUUAAUUAGUUAUAAAAUAACAUGGUCUCGCUCUUGUCUAUUUAGUUCGUAUAUUUGACCUCUAUCUAAAGAAUACUUUAUACCUUUACUCUAUGUUUCGUCUUUUAUGUUGACUCUCUUAAUACGGCUCAAGUACUUCACCAAGUUUCACCCAAGUUACUCUACUUCUUAGUUUGUAUUGAGUUGAUAGUAGCCAUCGUAUCCACCAUUCCACAUGUUAGCCCUCCGUUGAGUUCGAUCUCCACGUUGGCUCUAAGUAUGCCUUCAUCUAAUAUUGUUUAAGGUUACUCCAACACUUGAUCUCACAAUGCGUCCACUAACUCAUUACCUCAAACGAGAUCAUGUGAUGACUCUUUGUCACUCAUUAGCUUUAUAGAGCUAUCAUUUUGAGAUGCCCCUCUUAAUAUAUGCGAUCAAUUACACAUGAUUCUCUCUUUGGGAAUUGAGACUUAUUCCUCUUCGAUAUAUGUCCUAUUGGAGUAACUUUUCUCUUUGUAUUUUUGAUUUUAGAAGUCUCAAAGACUACCAUCCUCAUAGACUACUCCAUCUUACUAAACAAACUGUGCACUAUUCCACCACCAUAAAUGAACUUGCUAGAUUGCAACUCUUCACCAAUACAUCCCCCGUUAUGCCUCUCAAGGCCUACUAAUAUGUUGAAUUUAUUAUAUACAUCAGCCUCAUACAAACGUAUCCUUCUCAUGCUAAAGAAAAAGUUUCAAUACUCUAUGAUACUAAGUUUUGAUUGUCUUAGGAAGGUCAUGGAAAAUCCAUCAUCUACAUAUAAGCCCUUGCAUAAGAAUCAAAUUCUUUGAGUUAGCAAUUCACCUCAUAUUUAUGAGUUUUGCACAACUAUUUUAGUUACCGAGCAACCCAUCCUUCUUUGCACGAUAUCAUCCUUUGCUAAGCGCCUCGCUUACCUUGAGCAUCGUCAAACUUGGUUGCAAACUUCGAGUAAUAGCUCGAACUCAACCAUCACAAUCUUUGUACGCUAUAUAUUCUUCCUACCUCUCUUGUCCUCAUGGUUCCUUUCGCUCGAAGGAUUAGUCGUUCCUCUGAAUAUCAAUCUCAGAUGCCUAUUCAAUUGAAUGACUCAUUUCCCUAUAUCUCUAUGCUCGUUUCCCUCAAAAUGAUUAUGCAUGUUGGCUGCCCUCAACACAGCCUCGUUAUGUCCCUUAAAUUUACAUACCAAGUAUUUCUAGGUAUACUUAUUUCACUAUGAUAUCAUUUGUUACAGAUUUAGCUAGUGUUACCUAAGUCGUGUGGCACCUUUGAAUGUCUAUUCGCAAAUGGUCAAUCUCCUCAAAACCUUUUAUGAUCCCUUAAAGACUUACAAAAGAGAAUAAAUGUUAGAGGAAGCAUUUAACUUGGGAUCCCACAAACAAACAUUUUAACAGGCACUUGAUAGGUAAUAUAAAUUAUAAACAUAGAUUUCAUAAGUUUUUAACGGUUAUACAACAAAGGGUCCAAGAUGAUCCAUCGUGGCCAAAAGUCCCCAUAAGCGUUCAUAUGACACUACUGUAGAAUAAGGUAACGAACCAGUCCUAGACUUUAUCCCAAAUGCUUAUCUAACCAUGUGCCACCUGAGUAACUUCUAGGUGCUGUGUUAGCAAAUACUUUAUACUAUCCUACGGAGUUAGAAAUCUAAAAAAAUGAUUGCUUAGCUAGCUUGUUUCUAGAAAAUUUUGUCCUUACACAAUAACUAUACAUAACCUACAUUUACAUGAUUGAAAUAACAAAAAAAAACCAAUUAAAAUAGGGUUACUAAGCCUAUUAUAAACUAUCUAUAUGCUGUAUAAAGAAUUGAAAGAUAUAAAUAUAUAUAAAUAUGACAUAAGGGCAAUUAUGUGAUGCAAAUGUCUAUUGAGGUGGAGAUGUUCGUGUCUUGUAGAAAAAUUCAUUUUAUCAUCUAGCAGUAGAUGGAUGAUAAUACCCCAUGACAUAGAUACUUAUGUAUUGUUAAGUUUUACUAUGAGCGUUACCGCAACUUUGCCUAUAGAUCACAAAGAAUAUACCAGUAUUUUUAUUGCUGAUCAAAUUAAAGACCUUUGACAAUCGUUAUGACAUGUGACUUUUGACUUGUAAUCAAUGAUUUUUAGUCUUGGUUUCAACCAUCGUUUAAACUAAUGUAGUUUAACCAUAAGAAUUAUAGUCAUAGUUUUAGUUGCACUUAACAAGCUAAAAUAGAGGUUUCAAUUGGUAUAUGUCCAUAGAGCCAUCCAUGUUCAUCUAACCAAUGUUUCAGUUGAAUUCUUUAAGCUUCUUCUGCUUUAUGCCAUCCACUAAGCAAUGUUUUUUGGGAAAGCCAUCCCACUAAGUCAUGUUGGUGGCAUCACUAGAGAGCUGAAGGUUCAUUUGGAACACACCUUAUUGCUAGCAUCGAUCUUACUCUGAGGGGACCUUUGAUAAAGUUGCUUGGACUAAUAAACAGAGCAGAACUUUCCCGAUCUGAAUUUUCAGCGGAGCUGUUGCAAGAUUUAGAUGAACACAGAGCACAAGUUGUUCUUUCCUACUGCUGUAAGAUAAACAAAGAUUUGUUCUUCAAUGGCAAAACUAUUAUGAACAAGAAAUGAAUGUUCAUGCUCUGACUACAUCAUUCAGGUCAAGAAAAAAAGGUACCUGACUUCAGUGCAAUCAUCAUCAAGUGUGCGUAUGUUUGAUCAAAACCAAUGCAUGAGAGACCAGGAGAAGAAGAAGAAGAAGAAGGAACUAUGCAUGUAUAAUCUUCAAGACUUCAUUCUGCAACGUUUUGCCACCAGCACCCCAUUUGGAGGAGCACUCAGCUCAACGUCGCAGCGAGGGUAGAUCCAGUAAGAGAAGUGGCCUGCGCCCAGACUUGCCUUCACCUUGAAGGUUCCCCUAAUACUGUACACGACACUGUUGCUUCUCACCUGCUGCUGCAGCUGGAGGGCAAGGCCAGGUGGAAGGGGCACCUCGCUGGAUACCAUGUGCACCGACUCCAGCCUCGACUCGCCUGUCCGCUGAGCGAAAGGCUGCACCGCCUGGACCGCGAUGAUCCGGUCGUGGAAGUACAGCUCCACGCCCAAGUACUCGAACGUGAAGUCUAUCUUGUGGUUUGGGUUGGAGAAGUUGGCGAGGAAGGUGAAGUCGCUAUUUAGGUACGUGGAGGAGUCGAUGUAGAUGGUGUUAAGGCUUGCGGCGGUCAGAUCCAGCGAGGGGUUCCUCGGCUUGACGACGAGGAAGAUGAUGAGCGUGAUGACCCCCGCGAGGAUGAGGAGAAGACUGAAGACGACGCACACGACUGCACCACACCAUAUCAAGGGGCUCGUUUUGUGGCGAGGUUGGAGGAGGCGUUGCAUCCUCGUUCGUGAGUCGUAGAACUCCGACAACGGUGGCGCCUGCAGCGCCGGUGACCCUGGUUUCAUGGGUGUGGUGGUGGCUGACUUAGGAGGUCGGAGGCCGUAAGGGGAGCUGCGAUGAGGAGGCAUCUGCGGAGGAGUGUGGGGGAGAAACACCUUGGGAAGAAGUAAUGGGGUGAGAUGGUUUCUUGAGGACUAUGGAAGGCAAAGAGGAAAGAAGCUUUUGAAGGAGGGAAUGGGCCAUGCUGUGGUUGGUGACUCACAAAGGGAGCUCGGCAUUUGAAUAAAGUGAGAGGGAGAUGGGAGCUUGGAAGAGUCUGCUUUCUCUUUGACAAAGCACUAUAGUUAAAAUGUUAUGAUGUCAUCAAACUAUCUUUGAGUGAUAAUUAUUAAGGGAUUAAUUAUAAAUUAUCCUUGUAAUUAAUUAUCUUAAGUAUCUUUCUUACGAAAGUAAAACAUUGAAAUCCCUAUACAUUGAUUAAUUAAAUAUUUCACUUUCGUAAGUAUAGAGAUAUCAAUGUAAUUACAAGAGCCAAUAUGUAAUUAGUCUUAAUUAUUUUGAUUAUGUGAUCAAUGAUUUCAAAGACUUGUAAUUAAGCUUGAUACGUGAAAUCACACACAAGUGCAUGGUUUAAAUUAAUUAAGAAAAAAAGGAUAUUAUAUAAGUAUUGUUUAAAUAAAGAGAGAAGUUUGAACACAUAAUCUAUUUCUUUGUCAUGACAAAUCUUUUGAUACCUUAUGACUAUGAUUAUCUAAUAGAGAUCUCAUCUUGCAUGAAACUAAAGGGUAAAAAUAAUAUUUUAUAAAUUAAAAAAAAAUAAAUAAAUGUCAAAAAAUAUGUUAGAUAAGGUUUUGAAUAUAUGCCACUAUAAGAAAAGGAGAGAUUGAGAAAAGGAAGAAAAGAAUUGCCUUUAAUUUUGUUCCUAUCAAAAUUUGUCUUGAAUAAUUUAGUUAGUAAAUAUUUUGCAAAAGAGGGUUUGGCCUGACCAUUAAGACAUAAUUUCUUGUCCAAUGGGGUCUUAAUUAUAUGUCAUCAAAAACCAAAAUAAGUGUGCUCGGAAUUAUAAAAAGAAAAUAUUUUUAAAAUAAUUUUAAAGUAUUUGGAUCAAAGAAUCUACUAAGAGAAAGAUUAGACACUCUAAUCACUAUUUUUUAUUGAUCAAUGAAAAUUAAUAAAUUUUUUUUUUCAAAAUUGGCACAGAAGAUACAUUUUAUAUAUUGAAAUUAUAUGUGCAGAGACAUAAUUAUCUAAAAUAGUGAUUUGAGUGUAUCUUCUGAGCCAUGGAAAUGUGUUCAUCAAGUUUGAUACCUUAUACUUAUUUAAUGGAGCUCUCAUCUUGCAUAAUACUAGAGGAAAAUUAGUAUUUCCUAAGUUGGAAAAGUAACUUGAUACCAAAAAAAUAUAUCAGAUGAUGUUUUGAAUUCUUAUAGAUAACUAUGGUAUACAAAUAUGCUAGCUAAGUAUAUGCCAUUAUAAAAAAAUAAUAAUACUAAUAAUAAUGCCUUUCCUUUUGUUACCAUUAAGAUCUUGUUUGGUUGGCCUAUCCCAAGUUGAAAAAAAAUGCUUUGAAAAUAAAUUUAAAAUAUUUGGAUCCAAGAAUUUACUAAGAGAAGAUUAGGCACUCUAAUCAUUAUUUUUUAAUUGAUUAAAAAAACUUAUCAAAUUAUUUUUUCAAGAUCUACAUAGAAGAUACAUUUUAUAUAUUAAAAUUUGAUGUUGUGUAAGCAUAAUUGCAUUGUCAUAGAAGAUUGAAGUGUGGCUACCAUUGUAUUAUGGAUUGAUACACAAAGAUCAUAUAAAGUUUUAUCACAUUGAAUAUCAUUUCAACCCAAAAGCAUACACACAAGCUUUUUCAAACUUUAUUUGAAAAUAUUUCUUAUCCUUUUUCAAACUUCAUCUUGCAUAUGAAUAUGUAAUGGAAAUAUUUUUCUAUUUAUUUAUGGCUCAAUCAUCCAUAUAAGGUCUCAGAUAAUAUUUUCCUAUUCAUGCCUUUUAUCAUUCUCAAUAUUAGGUCGGUUCAAAUAUCAUUUAAUCGAUAUAAUAACUAAUUCAUUCGAAUCAGUUUUAUCGACUUUAAAUUAUCGAUGCUAGAUAUUAGUACAUCAAUCAAGUUAGAACUUAUAGUCAAUUUUUUUUUUGUUUUGGUAGGGAAUGUUGCAUAUGGCAAAACAAUGACAGAUUCUAAUUGAUUAGAAUUUUCUCUUCUAAAUUAUUUUAUAUUAUUAAAAUAUUUGACAAGUAACAUAUAAGAUAAUAUAAGUAUAAAAAUUAUAAUUAUACUAUCAAUUUUUUAUAAGACAGACGAGAAUAAAAGGUUUAAGAUGAUAGAUAAUUAAGAGAAUUUCUUUCAUCUCUUAAAAAAAAAUAUUAUAAUUAAUUUUUUUAUUGAUCGAUAAUUAUAAUCAAAAUUUAAUCGGAUUUACGAUAUACCUUACCUAAAUAAAUAGAAUCACAUAAUCUCAAUCAAAUCAUUUGGUACACUAAGGUUGGUGUGCAUUGAUGUUGUGACUUAGACCCACACAGCCCACCUCAAAUCAUCUCAAGCAUGCAAAACAAAUGUUAGGCGAGAAGAGAGAAGAAUGCACCCAUCAGUAAAAUUUUGAGUAAGGUGAUGUGCGAACUAUAAAACAUAAUCGAGUUAUCCCAAAUCAAAACCAAAAAUGAUCGAGCCUCUACGAGUGUUGACAUUCUAGAAAUGCUUCCUCCAAAGAUACAAAGGGGAUCUCUCAAUUCAGCCUUCUAAUAUUCUUUGCUUUUUCUUUUUUUUUUCUUUUUACUCUGAAAAUUUUUCAUAAUUUACUGAGAUUGAUAAUUUUUUAUCCUUAGACGAUGAGAGAACCUUUUGAAUUCGUAGUUUAAGCUGCUAUAUUUUGUUUUAUUUACUUUGGAAAGAAAAAAACAAUAAAUACAAUAUAAUUGCUUCUGUGAAAUGCUGGCUUUAGUCUAUAAUGCUAAUGAAUUCAUGUAAGUUAUUGCUGCAUUCCCUCUUUCCACUGCUAAUUUUAUUUAUUGAUAUGAAAGAAACAGCAUCCUAAUUGUACUAUAAAAACAGUAAUUUACAUAUGAUGCACAAAUUUGAUAAGACCAUAUGACAUAUUUUAAUGAGCCUUUAUAUUCAUAUUACCAAAAAUAAUUAUAGAUCCUCUGGACAGUCGAUAUUUGAUCAUAUAUGUCAUUCUGCUAAUACCUUAUUUAUAUUACAUAUUCAACUAUCUAACUUAAUAUUUGUCAUCACUGUAUGAAGCAAAACAUCAGUUCCACCUUUGUGAGAUAGCAUUAUGCAUAUAUAUCAUCUAUGGAUUAUCAGAAUCUGUAAUGACAAAGUGUGAUAUAUUGAAAGUUCUGAAAGAAAACAAAUGUGAAAGGACAAAAAAAAGAAGUACAUUAUUUUAUAGAAUAAUGAGCUGUAUUCUAUAAUUUCUUGAUAAAUACAACAAAUGAUUACAUCACUAUAUGCUUCACUAAUUAAAUUAGUAUUGAUGGAUUACUCUUUGGUUAUAAUGAAGUAUUCCUCUAUAUCACCCCCUUGGAAUAAAGUGAGCUAAUUAUAUAUUACGUUUGUAAUUAGUUAUCUUUACUAUUUUGAUCUCUAUACUUUUAAAAAUCACAUUGAGCUCCAACAAAAUCUCUCUAUCUCUCUUGAUUUUUAACACCAUGAAAUUAUCUUUUUAAUAAGAAUCUCAAUGUUUCACUUUCGUAAAUUUAGGAUUUCCAAUAUAAUUUAUGAAAGUUUACGAUCUGAAAUACUAAAAGUAGUUAAUUACAGAGGAUAAUUUAUAAUUUACCUGAAUAAAAUUGAGCUACGAUAUAGUACUAAAUAUUUUUGUGAAAAUAUUAACUCAAUCAUCAUAUUAACCUCUUUAAGGAUUAUUGGAUACUGUUUGGUUUCUUGGUUCUCUGAUUGUUGUGAGAAAAAUAAAACAACCAAAGUCUUGAUUGCAUGGAAAUCCUAAGAAUAAAUGGAAAAGCUUUCAUGUAAAUGCAAAUGACAUUACAACAAAUAAAAGAAGAAAAGAACUUCACAAAGACUAACGGGAACAAACCAGCAAAGCAGACAUGCUUGGAUCUCAAUGACACAUUGUUUACAGGAUGGAACAUGCAUUUGUGUUGGAGCUGCAGCUUUCAGAAUCAUACAACACCACCUGAGAACACUGUGGGUAAUUGGGAUACAAGUGCACCACACUCUCAAGCUUGUGCUUCUUCGCUUUCUCCACCUUGAGUAUAUUUGCAUGGCCAACUUUCUUCCUCAGGAUGCAUGUUAAGUUUGCAGGAUCGAUGUCGUCGCCGACGAUCACCAGAUGGUCCUUGUCCUCCCCUUCUAUUGCGACUGAAUCAACCCCUUCGGCAGCAACAUAGAUUGAAAGAUUAUAGUUCCUUUCACAUUUUUUUUAGUCGUAAUCCAGCGAUCAUAGUAGUACUAUGAAAAAAUAGAAAGAGAGAAGAAUGAUAAAUCUAGUUCUCCUUGAAAAUCAACAUAACUAUUAUUUUUCGGAUUCGAUGAUGAUACCCCUACAGAUCGAAUAAAAGUUUUGCUAGAUGAAAUCGAAAAGUACGCAUCAUAAAUCUGAUAUAUUUUCAUUUGAUUUCAAUCAUAACAUUAAAUUUUUUUCACGUAAAAGUAAUAUAUUUUAAUUUUUAUGAUUAGAUGAAUAUUAUCGUUCUCCGCCAUGUUCAUCAGCUCACCUGUUGCGGCAACGAGCUUCAUGGCUUUGGAGCGGCAUUUGUCGCACUUUAUCUGCACUUUGAUCACUAUCUUCUGCUGCAAAGAUAGAUGAAUGCGUAUGCUUGCUUUGUUAGCAGAUCAUUGAAUCUAACCGUGCAAUGUACUGCUUCUUCUCAGAAAGAAACAGAGGAAAUGGUACUGGCGACAAGUAAUCAACACAGCACAAUUCUGAUGUGCUUUUGAAGCAAUAUCAUCCUAAUUCAUUUUUAGGAGGAUUUUUGGACCCCUUCAACAGUAUAUAACAAUAAUAAUCUCGGUAUAAGCAGUACCCACACUAAGCUAUAAAGAGAGAAUAGAGGAAGGCAUACCUUCAUGUUCCUUGUUCUCGAUGGAUGGAGAAGAAACUGAUGUCUUGGCUUCGAUGAGAAGAAGAUUGUGGUGCCUACAUAUACACACAGUGUCAUUAAUGUGUUCAUGUGAAGGAGAAGACUGGUCGAAGGUACCUGCAAAACCAAGUCAAUGCGCAAUACUUCAAUGCUAAGAACACCAUAACUGUGUCAGAUCAGAGACGAUGGUUUCUAUUGCCAUCGUCAUCGGGUAACAGUGUAAGUAGAAGGUCUUAUUCAUGCCACUGGUUGCUUUCAUGGUGCCAUUCACAAGUAUAUAUUACAAGGAGUGGAUUGGAUACUGUAGCAGUAGAAACCAACUCUACAGAAGUCAUGUUAGAUCAGCUCAAAUUCUUUGAUGUGCAUUUCCAAUGAAUCCAACCGAGUAAAACCUGUAAUGUCAUCUCAAUGGGGAUCACAACAAGACAGCUUCAGCUUCUUAUCAAAGCUAAUCUACCAAAACAUCAAGCCAUUCCAUAUGAAGUUGGUUUAAUGCAUGUGAACCAUUUGAUCAUAGAUGAAUGGUCAUCACUGUACUUGAUCAAACAUUAUCCUAAACUAUGAACGACAGUCGCCUCUUCACCUGCCCCCGUCCCACUUCAUGCUGUUCUUGUUGUUUAUGAUUCUUAUCGCUGUUCAAUUAUUGACUUGGGAUGUGAGUUGAGAAGAGUUUGGUGCUCUCCUAUGUUUUCUCCACGUUCCAUCCUUGAUUUGCUCCGAUCCAUGGAUCUCUACGGCCAGUCUUCUUCUUGGAUGGGCUUCCUCGGAGGGAUGAUCAAGCCUGUGGUCUCGACGGCCGUGGUGGUGAUGGCAGUGAUCCUGUCUUUCUCUCAAAAGCUUGGACUUGAAGGGGAGAUGGUUCAGGCCACUGUGAGAUCCUUCCUCCAGCUCUCUGUUGUUGGUUUUGUGCUUCAGUUCAUCUUCGCCCAGAAGAAUGCUGGAUGGGUUUUGCUUGCCUACUUGUUCAUGGUCUGCCCCCUCCUCUCUCUCUCUCUCUCUCUCUCUCUGUGUUUUAGCUCCAAAGGAAAAACACAAUUUGGGGCUUUGCUCCCAAAACACUGAUACGAGGACAAAAUAUAUGCUGUGUGGGACAGAACAUAUCUUAGACUGCAUGUAUUCCCAAGAUAUGAGAGGAUAGACAGGAGCAUCCUCCUGUGGGUUGAAUCUCACAUCAAUGUGAUGAGGUUUACAGAUCAAACAAAUAGGAGAAAGGAUUGAUGAAUUAUACAGUAUGAUUCAUAUUUUCCUAAUGUGUUUGAUCCACGAGAGAAGAACAAAUGAGCAAAAAUGUACUUCCCUUCCCUUCAUGGCUUCAGCAAACAAUGAUUCUUGGUGGUUGUGUACAGGUAUCGGUUGCUGGCUACACCGCAGGAAGGCGGGCGGCACACGUACCUCGCGGGAAGUGGAUUGCCGGCGCAUCCAUCUUGAUUGGAACAACGGCGACCAUGUUCUUGCCCAUCGCAUUGGAUGUUCUACCUUUCACCCCCCAGUUCUUCAUCCCUGUUUCCGGGAUGAUGGUUGGUCACGCAAUGGCCGUCACCGGAGUCACGAUGAAGCAGCUCCAUGAAGACAUCAAGGCCCAGAGGAACCUGGUUGGUCUCAGCUCACUCGAUGAUCCACACAGGACGCUGAAUCUCCAUUUCCUCUGUGCUUCCUUCUUGAUACUCUCCAGCACUCGAAAGUUGUGGAGAUCUGCAAGAGUGAUGAACGGGACAACUCCUUGUGAACAGGUGGAAGCGGCAUUGGCUCUCGGCGCAACUCCUCGUCAAGCGACGAUGCAGCAGGCGACGAGAUCGCUGGUGGUGGCGCUGUCGCCGGACCUUGACAGCGUCAAGACCGUCGGCCUCAUCACCCUGCCCGGGACCAUGACAGGCCUCAUAAUGGGCGGCGCGUCUCCAAUGGAGGCAAUCCAGCUGCAGAUAGUCAUCACCAACAUGCUUGUCGGGGCUUGUGUGAUGAGCAGCAUCCUUUCCACCUACCUGUGCCUGCCUGUGUUCUUCACCAAAGCUUACCAAUUGGAUCACCAUGUGCUUGCUGCUGCAAAUUAAAGCCUCUUUGCCUUCUCCACGAUGAGCUUGUAGCUUGCAGCCCACAGCUCAUGCCAUCUAAUCAUCAUGAAUUGUCGUACCUGAAAUCUUCCAAGAACACCUCAAAAUAUUACAUGCAUCGUUGUAUAUAUUUGGAUCUUCUUCCCUCUCUUUCUGCUUCCAUGCAAAUUUUUCUUCCAAAGAACUCAGUGCUUCGAGCAGUCCAUUUUGUUACUCUCGAUAAUUAUUUAUGGUCCCUCAAUUACCAGCGUCAACCUCCACCUCCCUUUUCCCCCUGUGCCUCCCCUGCUCCUCCUCCACCUCCCCUUUCUCCCCCCCUCAGCCUCUGCCGUGUUAAUUGAUCCCCAAUGUAUCUUUUAUGUUGCAUAAAAAUAAUUUUAUUUGUGGAUGAUUUUCUCAUAUUUUUUAUUUAUUAAUUUAGUUGUCUUCCUCUUUUAGCUCAUUGUCAAUAGUAAUUUUUUCUUAGACAAAAUAAUAAUAAUCAGUUUCAAUAUGAAAAAUUGAAUUAUGUGUUAUAUGUAAGACACUCAUAUUAUCAUUAAGGAGUGGAUGCUAAUAUCAUGAAGAAGAUAGUUGAACCAUCAACUUCUAUAGUGGUGUUUUAUUCAUCUUGUUAUUGAUGAGCAUUUUGUUCUUACACUUUCAAUAUUUUUGUAUUGAUCAUUUUCUUAUUCAAGAUAAUAAUUAGGUUUUUGAGGUGAUACUUCUAUGACUUCAUUCGAUUGACAUGAUAUAUUCUUCUUGAUUUAGGAAGGUGGUUAAUGUGAAUUAUUAUAAAUCAUUACUAGAGGUUUACUUAGAUAUAUAUACAUCAAAAACAUCAUGCCUAGAUAUAUAUACCAUAUUAGUAAUAGGGUGAAUACAUCUAUAUUCAUUAUGACUAGAGUUAUAUCCAAGAAAAACAUAACAAAUUUUUUUUUGAAAAACUUAUUUUGACUUUGGUGCCUUAAAUAAGGAAAACGUCAACAGUUGAAAACUUUUAAGCUAUUAUAGUUUGAAUUUUUUUAAAUAAUUUAAAAAAUAAUAUUAUUGUUUUAGUAAAAGAGGAACGUGGUCUAUUUAUUAAGAAAGUUGUAAAAAAAAGUAUCCACCCAAAAUUUUAAAGGUAAAUUAGCAUGAAAAAUGAUUAAGAGAUCAGUUUUUACGAUAUAUCAAUGCUUCCCUUUUGAGAUUCUAUUUUUCUUCGAUAUAUAAGGACAUGAUAAUUGUGCUGGUUAGUAAGUUUUCCUCCACCAUCACUUUGAAAUAUCUUUAUCUUUCUAUCAAAUUAAUGUUUUACUAAUUUUUGAAAUAUCAAGAAAUAGUUAUAAAAAUUAGAUUUUUGCUUUAGAGGAUAAAACUGUGUAUCGAAGUACAAUCAUAAAUAAAAAUAAUAUAAUAACAAAAAUAUUGUAUGGAAGAGAUUACUGCAUGCCCCCAUAAGUAAGAUUUUCUCCGAAAGGAAAUUGAUAUAUUUUAUUAGAAUUUUAAAAAGGAUGUUUGCAUCUCUUUCUUUUUAACAACUAGUACAAAUAGAGCAUCGAGUAACCCAAAUAGAAAUGUUGAUAACCUUCUUUUUAUCAAGAACCGAUAGAAAAUAGAAAUUUUGAACAAGGGUGUCCCAUUCGUUUGGUGUUAUAAAUUUGAAGAGGCUUUUUGAGUUUUAAUGAUAAAUAAAACCUCUAUUUGUGUCUUUUCGAUAGCAUAAAAUUAUCAUUUUCAUACUCCUUCACUACAAUCUUUUCGCUUCGAUCCUUAUCACAAAGAUUCUAGUGAAGGGGUAUAAGAAAUGAUAAUUUUAUGCUCUCGAAGAGACACAAAUAGAGGCUUUCCGAUAAAGCCUCUUUUGGCUUCAAUCUUUUGUUAUUUCUUAUCCUCGAAGUUCGUCGUUGUUUAGCCAUGUCUCGUACUAAGAGUUGUAUUGCUUCUUGCCAUUCUCCUCUAUUAUUUCUUCUGCUAGGAUUUUCUUUGCAAGGUGAUUGGGUAUCCUAAGAUUUCGAAUCAAGAGCAAAACCUACGACUUCCAUAGAUGAAAAUUAAAUGCACUUAACUUUAUGGUACAAAAUUUUUUCGACAUAUUGACCGGUUUUUUGGUUCGAUAUCGAAUCUUCUGACAUGAUGCUCUCCAGCCCAACAUUCGAUUCUCUUGCUUUAAUCAAUUUAUCUUUUCAUGAUCGAAGUUAGUCAUGCGUCACUGAUUAGAUCAUAACUUCAAUAAUUGAUUUAAUCAUCAAAAUCUGAGAUUCACACAAAUAAUGAAAAAAAAAUAGUCUCUUCACUCCAAUUCUCUACAUCGCUACAGCAAGAUGUAAUAUGACUUUUUAUACACAAAGAAUUGAUAAUUUUUAAUCAUUAAGAAAUUAUUCCAAUCAAGGAAUAUGAAUAAAGGAGGAAAUAAUAAUCCCUUGAAUCAUGACAAUCAUUUUGUUAAUCGAUCCCCGAUGUAUCUUUUGUGCUACAUGGAAAGAAUCCCAACACAUCUUUUAUGUUGUAUUGGAAAGAAUUAAUUUUUUUCUCCUUUAACUCCUUGCCAUGGUUAAGUUGAUUUUGUGAGAUCUCAUUAACUUCUUCAAGCAGAAGAACGAAUGAAAGAAAAGAAAAGGAAAAAAAAAGGACUAUUAAAAAUUUUAAAAUAAAAUUAUAAUUAACAAAAAGAGUUUGUCAAUAGAAUUUUUUCAUACUUAUUUUACUGAUAUUUGAGUGUCAUCUAACAGCAACACAUUUAGAGUUGGAUAAUAAACGUAUCCAAAGAACACAUUUAGUGCAUUCUUUUACUAAUAUUUGGGUGUUAUCGAUCGCGAGACUCAAUUAGCAAACGCAAGCGAUGUCUCAUCCCCCGUCACUAUCGUCUCAGAAGAAGAAGAAGCCGAAGCAGUAACAGUGUUUUUACUGACAUAAAUGAGAUCAAGAAAUGGAUGCGACGUAGAGUUAUCGGACCAAAGAGGACGAAGCUUACAAGUUGAGUGUGACACAUGGCGUAGAGGGAGCAGCCGUGUCGAGUUUGCGCUCGUUGCAUGCAGGUCUCUUCAACGUCGGUCAAACGAUUCGAGUUUCCCAGCACUGAAGGGGGAGGGAAAAGGUUAUGAACCUUAUCGUCUUCUUCCUGUGAUGCAGAACGAGAUGGCCAUCGCUGCUGUGUCUGAUGUGAUGGAGGUGGAAUCAGGCGAUGUGUCGCCCGAGCAAAGCAAGACGGCGGCCGGCCCUGCGAGCACUGAGCAAUCGGCGGCCACGUAGGGACGAGGUGGAAAGCCUCGUUUGAACGCCAAGGAUGCCAUCGCCAUAAUGUCUCCGAUGGAAGACAGGCCGUGGUGGGCGCCGAUGCACAUCGACAUGUGUCGUGGAGAAGGAAAGCAGAGACGUGGCCGCCAUGGGGUGGAAGAAGACGAAGCAUGAUGAGCUCUGGGAUAGCUCUGCUGCUGCUGAUUGUUCCAUCACAAAAGGAAUAUACCUUUUCAUGUCUUGUAGCUAAAUUAAUUAUAUAUAUAUAUAUAUAUAUAUAUAUAUAUAUAUAUAUAUAUAUAAAAGAGCUAUUUUUUUAUAUACAUGUGUUUGUGUAAAUUAUAUUUAUAUUUUUAGAAUGGAAGGAGAAAUAUGCUACUUCCAAACAGUAGACAUGUAAAAACACAAAAUUAGAUAAUUAAUUAUCAUCAAUUUUUAAUUUUAUUAUAUUUUGGAUGUAUGUUUCUUAUUUAGCUUUAAAUAGAAAUAAUAUCCUUUAAAGUAUUUAUUUUUCAUGAAUGAAUACAAGUUGAUCUAAUGUUCAAAAAAUACACCCUAUUUUGAGUGAUUGUUCAACUUUAUUCUUAUUUAUGUAUGACUAAAAAAAACAAAAAUAAAAGACCAGUAAUCUAAUGAUUGGAAAUAAUGGAAGAAGGCAAGGAGAGGAUGCAAACCUAACCGCAGGUGAGUUUAAGAAAUAACCUGCAUCACGUAGUCAAGUUGCAGAAGGAGAGGCGGCUCCAGAAAAGCGACAGCGGUAAGCUUACCGAAGACGGUCAGUGCGUCUUCCAGAAGAUGACAUCUAUAAAUAAACCCAACGCUUUUCGCUGUUCUUCUCGCUUCACUUAUCCCCCUUUUCUCUCUCAAGUAGAAACCCAUCGAGGAGAGGGAAGGCCGUCGCAGGUUCGCUGAAGUAAGCGCUUCGGAUCUCUUCUCUUCUCUUAUUUUGAUGCUUUCUGUUCCUCCAAUCUGAUGGAUUUUAGCUCAAAGAUCCCUUUUUUUUGUCUUUCUGGAAGUUUGCUUCCGCAGAAAAAAUCGAUCUUUUUCGUUGUACUGUUAAGAUGUUUCAAUAUCAUGUCGCAGAAGAAGCGAAAUGAUGUGGUCUGCGAUAUCUUCGAAGCUAGGAUUGGCUAAUGGCUUCGAUUGUGUUGGUGUUCUUCUUUUACUAUUAUUUCUUUGCGCUGUUCAUUGAUUUCAAGGUCUCUGCUUUGUCCACGGCAUUUACAGAGACUCUCUGAAGGUAUCGGGGACUAAAAACUCGGUUUUUGACUGUUAGAAAGAUCGUCUUAUUGUUAUUCAGGCUUUACUGUGUCCGAUCCUUUCGAUUCUCCGUUCUGUCUUCACUAAUUUCAUGUGGGAUUUUGGAAUAGUUCUGCAUAUGUUCCUUUGAUCGAAUCUUACUCUGUAUUCUGUGUCACAGGUCUAAACAAGCGGACCCUUUGAUCGACCGUGCGUUCGUGCAAUCCGAGAACCAUGGGGCUUUCGAGCCUGCCGACUCCAUCGGAGAGCGUUCUCACCCUCGUGCUCGUCAACACUGCCCUCACCGUGUCGAUCGUGAAGGAGCUCCUCCGCUCCGCCCUCCACGUGCUCGGCCUUCGCGCCGCCCCGCCGUCGACGACGAGGACGACGCCGGAGGGGCCACCGGAGCCCAGCUUCACCGACCGGUUCCGCAGCCGGACCAGCCCGGUCCGUUUCGCCUCGGCGAUGUCGUGCCGCCGGCCCGGCGCCGCGGACUGCCGGGUCUGCCUUGCCCGGUUCGAGCCGGAGUCGGUGGUGAACCGGCUUCCCUGUGGCCACCUCUUCCAUAAGGCAUGCCUGGAGACGUGGCUCGAUCAUCGUCACGCCACGUGUCCUUUGUGCAGGACCCAUGUCCUCCAGGGCGUGGACCCGGCCGUCUCCGCCGCUUCCUCGUUGCCAUGGUUUUAGCUCUUAAAGUACCGUGAAUGCCCCAGAAAGCCUCCUCUUUCUUUUUUUCCCCCCUUUUUCUGUGUAUUUUCUUUUUUAUUACUUCUUUGUAAAUAUUGAGGUAGUAUAUAUACACUGUUCAAUAUAACUUACUCUCACCAGCAUUUUUUUUUUUAACUUUGAGAUAAAUUUUUGUUGCUGGUGAUGACGGAUGAUGAAGUCAUUAGCGUCGACGUUGAUGUAGUUGUUGGGUAAUUUUUUUGUCGUUUUGUAUUUACGUUGAUGUUUCAUCGAUACAUAAUUAAAAUCCAUUAUUGAAGUCAUUCUAGAGAUUUGUUGUCUAUCGAAGUAGGAUCUAGAUGGUCUUUCGUCGUUUUAUAUUUACGUUGAUGUUUGCAUAUAAUCAAAAUUUGUUAUUGAAGUUAUUUUAGAGAUAUGUUGUCUAUCGAAGUAGGAUCUAGAGAUGUGUCUUUGUCUUGUCGACGUUAACGUUAUACUAUUCUUUAUCAUCCAUCUUCUUAAUCAUUAUCACCAUUACUCUUUUACGAUUAAGUCCUAAGAGAAAAUCGUCGUUGUCCGUCUCAACCUUUUUAUCUCUCCGUGAGGCGCUCAUGUGCAUCCCAAGUAUCCUCAACAUCCUCGCCAUUGCCCUCCAUCUCUUCGCCCAACACAUUAUCGGAACUCAUUACAGCCUUCUCUCCGUUGAAGCAUAUCACUCUAUCAUCAAAUCAAAGAAGCUCCUCAUCGUUGCCCUUAUGGGCCUCUUCGGUACUCGUUUCAUACUGACUAGGUCCAUCAAGGAUGUGCUCAUGGCCCUUUACUCGUUCAAUCGCAUCACCCUCAUCAAGCUGGGUGUUCUUUGCAUUAAUGGUGAAGGACGAGCGAAGGGGGGUGGUAGAGGGGUGGAGGCAUUCCGGGGGGUGGACAACGUCAUCUUGGUAGAUCUAAUGGUUGAGGGGAGUGAGAGUACAAGGAAAAAUGUUACAGUUGCACCGUUGAACCUCAUAAAGAGCAAUGGGGACAAAACAGCGAGGGACAUUAGGGAGGUGGAUGGAACGGAGGCGACUAUGAGGGUUUUGGUCGACGGUAACAACGAGAUGAGCAUAAGGGGGAAGAACAAAGCGAAGACGCUAUUGAUGGUUCUAAAAAGCGAGCGAGCGAGAGAGCCAGCUAUAGGAUCUUGAUGAUUACGAAACCGACACUAUUGAGUCCAUAUUGCAACCAUUACUCUAUGAGGAAGUCACAAAACAUUGUCAUCGCUUUGCAUCCACCACCAACGUUAUCCACUACCUCUAAUUGAAACGUUAAAAUUAUUUUUAUUUUUUUACUUCUUGUUUUUAUGUGUUCAUUAAUAAAACCAACAACAUUCAAAUAAACAAACCUCUUUCACUUUCGUAACUAUAGAUAUGUCAAUGUAAUAUUUUUAAAUAUAAAAAUCAAGAUACUAAAAACAACUAACUACAAAUGAUAAUAUAUAAUUAGUCCAUAUAUAUCACACUUCUCGCAUAGUUUAGUAGCCUUACAAAGCAAUUAAGAUUUGUUAUAGUCUUAUGAACAGUUCAAAUAAUAGCUCCAUAAGCAAAUUAUACUCAUCAUUAGAAACCAAGGUGACACAUGAAGACAUAGCACUACAUGGAAUUGUAAUCGUCUCCGGCAAUGAACCUUUCACAGGACGACGAGACUCAACAUGAUGUUUCUUUCCUAGAUUCCGUCAGAUGUGUCACAUAACAAAGUGCAUCGAGACCAAACUUAAUACACUGAACCUUUGAUUCUUCCACAGCCUAUCUUUCCCCAAGUUGAUGCAACAUCAUAAUGCUUCUUUACCAGAUUGUUUGAGAUACUGUGAGGCAUCAAAGAGCAACAAGACCAAAGUCAUAGGAGGGAGAGACAUGCUAAACCCAUAUGGACCAGAUGGAUUUCUAUGUAAUUUGAUGCAUCUAUAAAAAGAAAGAAGCAUUUUAAUGAUUAUCUGUAAAAUAGAUAAGAGUUCAAAGAGAUAAAUUUUACAUUUAAAAUAAUGAUUUGUGGUACAUCAAAUCCACUGACGAAAGAGUAAAGAUUUUAUUUCACAUAAAAAGGUAUCUACUUGUUGAAGUUCCAUGGUAAAACACUGAUUACAGUCUCACAAACAGAUCCCAAGAAAGCAAAUAAUAGCAGAAAAUUUGGAGGACGAACAGUGACACACUUGUUUCUUUUUCUCAAGCGCAUGAAAAAAUAUGGGUGCAUCAAUUCCCAUAAAAACAAAGGAAUGAUAUAAGAGAAUAACUCAUGUCUCUUUUUUAUGAAAUGUAUAAGUCAUGCAAGUCUACAAGAAGAUAAAUUGAAAUAGAGAGAGCACAAUCAGAGGUAGGAAGGGAGAAAAGGCAAGAAUAAAGAGAUGAGAAUAACAGAAGUUUACACAAGGAAUAAGAUUAUCUCAGUGGAAAAUUGUGCCAUCAAAGUGUGGAGCUUUGUGAAUGCAUUCCAAGAAACAAGUAUGAUUAUGGACUUCCCUAUCAUCAAAACCGAUAAUCCAAGCACUGUCCCACAAUCACUCAAGUAACUUUAUGUUCAAAAAUUUCAGCACUGCUUUUAUCUUCCUAAACAUAAGUUGGAAGAAUAACAGGAUGUGUUAUUUUACCUUUCCCAAGCUUUUGUUUUGUAGGUUGUAGAUGAUAUCUCAUCAACUGAAAAUGAAAAGCUUUGGUUGAUGAGGCUAAAUGGCAUCUGUUCUGAAGAUUAUUUCCUCACAAAGCUAGCAUCUGGCAAAAGAAUCAUAAAAAGGUGAUGGUAACUUGUACCUACCCUCAAAGGUAUAAAGUUAAAUGCUAUACAUUUCCAUGUGGUCAAACCUUUGCUGGUUGAUUCUCCAGAUUAUUCCCCAUAUAACAAGCACCUGCAAAAGCAUCAUAGAUUAAUGGUAACUCCCGGCUAAAGUUAAAGUUAAUCCUAUAUAUUAUACUGGCAUUUCUAGGUGGUUAAUCCUUAGUGGCUUAUCUUACCAACUACAUGUGGGUUAGCAACUGUGGUAUCGAAAACCAUAUAGUAUAGAUGAUUCAGGCCUUACCAGCAGCAUCACUAGCACAGGCCGUCGAUAAAUCUUAGGGAGUCAGUAGGAUAAAAAACCUCUAUGAGUUCAAGAAAUAAUUUUUUUCUUUUCGUAGAACAAAUUCUGUCAUGCUCCCAUCUCUUGUUCCAGUCUGUACUGUUAUCUAGGAAAACAUGUGCAGGAAGCAUCAAACUCUGGAAUCAUUGAACUCCAUGAUGGUAGCUUUGUUGGAAUAACUCAAAAAUUAGAACAUCAGACAGACAUAGCAGGCAUAUUCAAAAAGGUCAAGAGACUUGUAAAGUGCAGAAAAAUUGCUAAUACUUCUUACUAAAUAAAGUUCUAAACAGAUCAGAUAUACUUAUGGUUGACGAUCACAUUCGAGACAUCUAUUUGUUGACUGGUUUUAACAAGAAACAUAUUCUAUAGCUCGAAAUAUCAAAAUCACAUCUUACUCGGAACAAACCCAUUGUUGUUUUCUGCAAAUUCAUUUGUUUCAACUAAUGCAUGCAACAUGCAACAAAAAAAUCUUCUCAACGAACAAUCCCAUGCAUAAAUGAUAGAUCCUCUAGCAAUCUAGCAAUUAGGUAUCUCAAUAUAGUAAAAUGAAUAUAAUCUUAUAAAAUGGCACAGCCAAAACAUAAAAAAUAAAAAAAUAAAAAGAGAAGAGUUUACUGCAUCUGAAGAAAAAUACUAGUAUCCAGAAUGUACAUUUUCUCAUCACUUAAAAACAAUGAAAAAAGAUUGAUAUUUUGCAUAACCACACAUUAAGAUGAUCUAACCAUUCUACAAAAGCAAAAUUAAUAAGAAUAUAACACACCUAGAGCAAAAUCCGAUGAGUAACAGGUGCACUCUUCAAUUGAUGUGCUCGUUGAAUCUCGGAUUUUGAUGAUGAAAUCAAUCGAUAUGUGUGUAUGUUUUAAUCUGCGUUUUGAUGCUUCGAUCAGGAUGAGACAAUUAAAGCAGGAAUAAUCAUGUUGGGCCGGAGGAAUAUGUCAGAAGAUUGGAUGUCGGGCCGGUGGAUCGGUCGACGUAUCGACAGAAGGCUUCGGGCCGUGGAUUCGAGCAUCGGGCCAAGAAGAGCGGAUAUUGCACCAAGGAUAUCGGAGUUACAGUGUCAACUGGCCGAUUGGGCAAUAGACCACAAGAGAGGACGAUGCGCCAAAGAAUCGGACAAAGCGUCGAGGGACCAAUGACAUGCCGGACAACUUGAUUAAUGCUUAGUAUUAAUUGCCUAGAUCGAAGUGUGUUUUUACAUAUGCAAGAUUAACUACGAUAGUAAGGCAUGAAGCAAAAUGAAGUCCCGAAGUCAAGGACGCGAUUACGUUGGGAGUUCGAGAGUUCGUCGGAAGUCCGGACGUUCGUCGAAAGUUCUGGAGGAACCAGCCGAGAAGUCUCGGAGCUUGUCAGAGAAGCUCGUCGGAACUCACCAAGAAGAUCAUCGUGAAGUCCAGGAGCUUGCUGGGAGUCCGCCGGAACAUCGCCGAAAGAAUAGACAUAGGGACUUGUUUAGCUUAGCAAAUGUCUUAGGAUUUCGUAGUUAGCACGUAAUUGGGCUUGGAUUUGGGCCAACCCAAUUAGGGGUCAACUAGGCCCAUGUAAGAAUUGUGUUGAGCCCAAUAAGAGGCCCAAACAGUGCCCCCAAGAAGUCUUACCGUCGUGGCAUAGUCUUCGAGACUAUGUCAGGCGAUGGUACCACCAGUCUGGGCGGUGGUACCGCCUUGCACUGCCCCCCAAGCGGUGGUACCGCCAGACCUGGGCGGUGGUCCCACCCAGGGCAAUGUCAGUGUCAGACUGACACUGGGCGGUGGUACCGCCCGUGCCCGGGAAACCCGGGAUGGAAAAGUUUUAGGCUCCAAGUUUGAAUCAACUUGAAGCCUAUAAAUACCCCUCUCAUCCCUGGUUAAAGCACACAAGCACAGAGAGUUUAAAAAGAAAGAAACGCUGCUAAAAUCUUGUGUGAUCUCCUCUCCCUCUUCUAAGUGUUAGACUAGUUUGAGAGAGAAGUAAGUGAGUACUUGUAAGGGUUGUCUCCUAAAUCCGGUAAAAGGAGAAGAGGGGUGUAAAAGGUGAUUGGCCUUCGCCUAUUGAAGGAAGGCCUCUAGUGGACGCCGGUGAUCUCGUUGGAGAAGGAAACCGAAAGUGGAUGUAGGUCACGUUGACCGAACCACUCUAAAACUGCCAUGUUCUCUGGUUUGCAUUUUAUUCUUGCUAUUACCUUACUGCAAACCUCUUUAAGUGUUUACUCCCUUCAAUUCAUUACGUACGCUUUCAAGUUAAGUUUCCGAAAUCGGCUUUUCGUCGGAAACGAUUUUUAUCGUACGAAGUUUUUUAAACCAACGUAGUUUUUACCGCUGCACUAAUUUACCUCCCCUCUUAGUACCGACCCCUGAUCCUAACACUCCUGAGUUGCUAUUGUAGAAAUUAACCACAUGAAAAUAACCAAGGCAUGUGGUCAUUCAAGUUGCAUGUUUAAAAGAACUAAUUGCUGUUUUCCUCAGACUCAGCAAGCACAAAUUCUGCAUAUAAAAUUUUCAAAGCAAUAACAACCAUCAUUAUUAAAGGACCCAUAAUGUUUCUCUCCAUGUCAAGGACAAGAAAACCAAUUAGAUUCUUCAAUAAAAUGUCAUUCAGGUAAAUAUCAUUUAUCUGAGGUCCAACACAAGCAGUUCUGAUUGAUAUAAGAAGAAACAUAUUACUUGGAACCAGAAAAUAUGGUUUAAAAUUUUAAGAAAUAUAAAUACAAAUGCAAAAAUGAAGUAAUUUAUUUUGUAUAAGGUUCUUAUAAGACAGAAAUACCAAGAAUAGACUUAUGCCUACCUAACUACUACCCUUUUUGGUAGGUGACGUAAUAUUAUGUAAGGACCUACUUUAAUAAUUGGAAUAUGAUUAUUGAUUUUUCAUACCAUAAACAGUUUGUUUUAUUCAAAUAUAGCAAGAACCUUUCAAGGAGGAUUUCUACAUAUCUAUAUGUAAAUACUUUUAACAGACACUAAAACAUCUCUCAUGGAAAAUUACAUCAUAGUAAACCUUCAAAAUCAAAUAAUAAACAGUGUUGUGAGAAUAUGGACAUAUAUGCAUUUUAAUCAAUGUGAGAACAAAAGCACUUUAGUCAACAGUUCUAUUCAUCACCACCUCCUCAGACAGGAAACAAACCACUAGCCAGUAAGACGUCCUUUGGAGAGCCCGUAUGGGAGACAAAUAAACAAUGUCGAAGGAGAUGAUAUUAUGUGUCAAAUAAAAAGCAACUCGGGACAGUUUCAUUCAAUAUUCCUUUUGUUUGGUCAAUUUCUAGAUCCAAGAAAAUUGUUGACAUGAUAACCUUGAAAAAAUCAUCAUAAUUAGGAGGCAAUUUUAACAUAUCAAACAACAUGAACAACACAAAAUUGGAUAAAAACCUCUAAAGCAUUAGGAAACAAUGUCAUGCCACCGAUGAUGCUAAGGCCAGUUAAAUAAGCACUAUGCCCUGGUAUCUCCUCCUGAACCACUGAAGUGCCAUAGUCCAUCAGCAUAAGAUGUAUCGCUGCCAAUCCUACAGCCCAUAUGUAUCUUCCUUCUAUUAAUAGCUGAAUCACAGCAGGAAUUGAUGAAAGCCAUGGUGGGAAUAUAGGAACUAAGGCAUUGAUAAAUGCAAGGAUGGUCGACAGGUACAAAAAAUGCACCAAGAACCUAAAUAGCAGCCAGGUAAGGCAACCAUGGAAGAUGGCAAUCUUCGCAGUGGCCAAAAGUACACUGCUUAUUGCAUGGUCAAUCACCUCAACACAUCGAACCCUCAUAGAUUUGGAGAUGGGAAUCAUACCAAUGCCUUGUUCCGUAGCUCCACCAGACUCCAAUGUGAUGAGAUAAAACAACAUCCAGAGAAAACCCAUCAACUGGGAGACAAAAUUUAACAAUUCCACCGUGCCUGAGACAAAUUUCAGACCAAUGGAGAACAUUAAGUUAGCACUGCCACCAAGCACCGAAGUACUACUCAGAAGCACCGGCUUUAAGACCUCAAUACCCUGUAAAGCAAGGUCUUUAGCUUUCACCCUCUCUGGUAAUCAACAAUUCCCUAAAGAUGGAAACCAAUUCUCUGUAUAUCACAGCCCACUCAUGGUUCUUGACAUGCAUGCUCAGAGCCUGGAGCUUGACAGCGUAGGGGUGUGGCGGCGAUCUUGUCAAACCUGUCCAAGUCUCAACAGAAGGAUGUGCCGAUCAACCUAACAAGAAAUGCCAGAAGCCAUUGGCAAAGUCAGUCAGAUUAUACUGGACAGCCAAAUCAUCGAUUUGCUGCCAGACUGUGUGAUAAAGCUUGGCCGAAUACUGAUCGACGAGGCCCGGUAGAUCAUUAUCAUCCAUCCACUUCUUGAAUCCGAUCUUCUCAGCGUAAUUGCUCUUCUGAACAUGAGAUUUCAGUGGCAUCACGGCAUCCUUCCCCUCAACCCCAAUCUUGUAUAAGAAGAAGACUCCGCCAACAAUGGCCCCGAUGAUCAUUCCGUCGAUCAAGCUGAUGGCGACGAUGGUGUUCAAAUGCUUUAGGACGCCAGUCGUGAGGACCCUGCCGCCGCUGGGUAUGGAUGACCGCCCCGUGGCAAAGCUGGCGUGUUUGACGACAGAGGUGGCGGCUGGGCCAGCGAGGGAGAGGCCAAGGGCGAAGAGGGCAGGACCAGCGGGGCCAAGCCGCUCAUAGCAGACAACAGAGGCCCAGAAGGAAACGAGCCAGCGCAUGAGGCGGGAGAAGCCGUAGCUACUGUCACGGGAGCGGGGGGCGGGCUUGCUGGGGUGGAUGAGGGCAGAGCGGAGGUCGGCGAGGGUGCCGGCAGAGGAACGGAGGGGGCCAGCAGGGACAGCUAGGAGGGCGGGGAGGAGGCCGAGGCGGAGGGUUGGGGACCAGAAGGCCACAAGUGCGCGCUGGAGCUCACGAAGAGGGAUGGAGCAGAGAAACGCCCACUGGAGGGGGCGGACGAAGCCGUGGAGGACGCGGUAUAGGCCGUAGAGAAGGAGAAGGGAGAAGGCAAGGCCGGCGUGCGCCAUGGCGAUGUAGAGGGCGAGGCGGGCGAGGGGAUCCAGCGCCAGGAUCCCGGCGGACGCGGAUGGUCGAUCCCUCGGCUGUUCGGCGGCCGGAGGCCGGAUUUGGGCAACCGGACUCGAAUCUGUUUUGCGUCGAGCCAAAUCUGUCCCGAUUAGACCCCGAAUCCCCGAAUUCGAACCGGGCAAUUUCGUUGGACCGCCACUAUUAAGCUUUCUCCCACCACUGAACCCUUAAACCUUAACCUAGCAUGAGAAGACGAUGGGCGGUUGCCGUCACGGCCAGCAAGCCCACCCCUGGUCUACUAUCAACCUCCUCCUCCUCCAUACGACCCUUCUCUUCUCGGUAUUCCUCCUCCUCCGCCGUCGCCGCCGAAGACUUACUAGCCGAGACCCUGCCACCAGAGAAACCCAGCACCGGCUCGUUUCUCGUCGCCCGCCUAUCCUAUCUUCUCUCCCGGCCGCACUGGCGCAAGAACCGCUCUUUGAAAAAAUUGGGUCGCUCCGUGACCCCGCCCGUGGUCGCCGAGCUGCUCCAGGGCGGUUCCCUCGAUGCCGAGUCGGCGCUCGCGUUCUUCCAAUGGAUCGGCCAGCGUCCAGGAUACCGGCACAGUGUAGAGUCCUAUGCCUCCCUGGUCCACGUACUCCUUCGAUCGAAAUCUCGCUUCCAGGUUGACGAAGUUGUCACCUUUAUGAUCAAAUCGUGUUAUUCCGUCGAGGAAGUGCGCACAGCAUUGGAGACAUUUAAGUCGAUCAACAGAGCAGGUGGCGGUGUCAGAUUCAGGCCCUCUAUUUGGUGUUACAACACGCUGUUGAUGUCCCUCGGCAGGUAUGGAAUGAUCGAGGAGAUGAACGAUAUGUACCGGCAGAUUAAUAAUGAUCAAGUUUUGCCUGACCUUGUUACCUACAAUACGAUGAUCAAGGCCUAUUGCAUGGAAGGGAAUCUGGCUGAAACAAAACUGUAUCUUAGGUGCUUACUGGAAUCUGGUUUGGCUCCAGAUAGAUUUACGUACAAUUUUUUGAUCUUAGGGCACUGUCGGAGCAAGAAAUUAGACAGGGCUUGUUGGAUUUUCUUGAUGAUGCCACAGAUGGGUCGCCGGAGAAACGAAUUUUCAUACACCAUCCUCAUCCAAGGGCUCUGUAAGCACUCUAGGGUAAAUGAGGCUUUGAGCUUGUUCUUAAAGAUGGGAAGUGAUGCAUGUCACCCUAAUGUCCACACGUACACGGUGAUGAUAGAUGGUCUUUGCACGGUGGGAAAGCUUGAUGAUGCUGAGAAAUUGUUGAAUGAGAUUUUUGAUAGAGGUUUGGUUCCUAGCAAUGUGACUUACAAUGCUCUGCUGGAUGGUUACUGUAAGAGAGGGAAAUUUGAAGCUGCUUAUGGGGUUAUGAAGCUAAUGGAAUCAAAUGGUUGCAAGCUAGAUGAAUGGACUUAUUCGAUAGUCAUUCAGAGUCUUUGUAAGGAGAAUAGGCUUGAGGAUGCUGAGGCAUUGCUGAAUGAGGCCAUUGCAAGGGGUUGUGGUCCUAAUGUCUUUACAUUUAGCGCUCUCUUACAUGUAUAUUGCAAGCAUGGGAAGAUUGCUGAUGGUUUGAGAGUUAUGGAACUCAUGGAAUCAAAUGGAUGUAAACCAGAUGCAUGGACUUAUACAAUGAUGAUUGAUGGCCUGUGUAAGGAGAAUAGACUAGAAGAUGCUGUAAAAAUGCUAAGGGAGAUGUUUGAUAAACGUUUGAUUCCAAGUGUUGUCACCUAUACUGCUUUGGUUGGUGGAUUUUGUGAGAGAAGGAAGAUGAACGAUGCACUACAGGUUGUGGAGAUGAUGGAGUCAUAUGGGUGUCAACCAAAUGCUUGGACUUAUACUGAGCUGAUUUAUGGAUUUUGUCUAGAGAGAAACGUGCACAAGGCGAUGAGUUUGUUAUCCAAGAUGCUUGAAGGUGGAUCAACUCCAAACAUAAUCACAUACACCAACUUGAUUAAUGGGCAGUGCCAGGAGGGUUAUAUGGAUGAUGCUCUCAGAUUACUCAACUCAAUGGAGGCAAAAGGUUUGGUCGCUGAUCAGCAGACAUAUACUAUUUUAAUAGAUGCCCUCUGCAAGGACGGGAGAAUUGGUGAAGCUUAUGCUUUAUUUUCCUCUCUUGCCAGAAAAGAUGUAAUUCCAAACAAGGUCAUGUAUACUGCACUAAUAGAUGGCCUAUGCAAAUCAGGAAAGAUUGAUUUUGCUUAUUCCCUGCUUAUGAGAAUGAGUUUAGAUGAUUGCUUGCCAGACACCUUCACCUACAGUGUGUUAAUAGAUGGCUUUUGCAAAGAAAGAAAAUUGCAAGAAGCCUUGUCACUGCUGGGGACUAUGUCCAAAAAAGGUGUAGAGCCUACAGCUGUAACUUUUACGAUUCUUAUUGAUGAGAUGCUCUAUAAAGGGGACUAUGAUCAUGCUAAAAAGAUGUUGAACCAAAUAUUUUCUUCAGGUUGUAAGCCAACUGCACACACUUACACUGCAUUCGUCCAUGCCUAUUGCUGUGAGGGAAGGGUAGAAGAGGCGGAAAGUACAGUAACAGAGAUGAAGAAUGAAGGAAUUCUUCCUGAUUUGGUAACAUAUAACACAUUGAUUAAUGGAUUUGGAACUAUGGGGUACAUGGAUCGUGCAUUUUCUGCUCUCAAGAACAUGAUCGAUUCUGCAUGCCAUCCAAACUACUGGACUUACUCAGUUUUGCUCGAGCAUUUCUUGAAAGGCAAGCAGGAAAACAUUGUCCUUAGUAGUUCAGAAUUGUGGGAGAAAAUAGAUGUAGCAAUAGUUCUGGAGUUUUUAGGGGAGAUGGAACAGUUUGAUUGUGCUCCUAAUCUUGUUACAUAUGGUGCCCUCAUAGCAGGCUUCUGCAAGGUGGCACGGUUGGAAGAAGCAUAUCUGAUGUUGUCUCAUAUGAAAAAAGGAGGUUUAUUACCCAACGGAGACAUCUACAACUCUCUCAUUAUUUGUUGCUGCAAGUUAAACCGGUAUAUGGAGGCAUCAACUUUUAUGAACUCCAUGUCAGAAUGUGGCUAUCUUCCUCAGUUGGAAUCCUACCAGGUUCUUCUUUCAGGGCUCUGUGAUGAAAGAAACUCUGAGCAAGCUAAAUUAUUUUUCUGUGACUUAAUGGGUAAAGGUUAUAAUCCUGAUGAGGUUGUAUGGAAAGUUCUCAUUGAUGGUGUACUUAAAAAAGGUUAUGUGAAUGAAUGUUCUGAGAUGUUUACAAUCAUGAAGGAAUUGAACUGCUAUCCUACUCCUCAGACACUUGCUCUGAUGGCCAAGUACACUUCUGAACUAAGUCAGGGGGAAACAAGCAUACUGGAGAAAUGAUCCUUCUUAAUUGGCAUCUUACAUGGUAAUUCCUGUGGCAACUUUUAAAUGUUCCCUUCCCUUGUAUGGAUACUUAUUGGUGGAAUUACACCGGAAGACUUAUGAAGCAUCCUUGUGAUGGUGUCAGAUGUCCUUCAAAGAACUGUCUUGAGACUGAUAGUAUCCUGUGAUAGUAAACCAUCCUUGACAUCUGAAUAGGUUUGUUUUUUUUCUUUCACUUAUUUAUGAUUCAUUUGGUUGGGAAUUUGUCAUCUAUAGAAACAUAUUUUGUUAAUCAAGCAGUAAUUUGCUCUUCCUUGAUGCUUAAACCUUACAAUAAUGAAAAAGAUUUCAGCAUCAUGUUUUCUGUUCAGAACUUGCUCUGUUUAAUUCAUUUUUUGAAGCUUAUUUAAUCAAUUAUAUUGUAAAAGGCUAAAAGCUUAUUUCAAGUAGAAUAAAAAUCAUUGAUUGUGCAUACAGGUACAAGGGCACAGGUAUCUACUCAGACUAAACUGCACAAGUUCCUGCCUACUUGUAUGAGGCUGUUGCAAUGUACGGCAGCAAUUUACAAAGGGGAGUCCAGGAAAUGGAAUCCACACUGGAGCAGUGUUCAUGUUUUCCAUCAUAGGUUGGAAAUUGGCCUUCCAAGGCAUGAUGAGAUGUAAGACCUUUGCACAGAUCGACCAUGGCCCUUCUUUAAGAAUACCAAGAGAAUCCUCUUCGGAUGUAAACCGAAAAGAAAAAAAAAAUCCAUUGGUCAUUAUCAAGAAUUAAUGGAUUAGAAGGAAAAUUCCAAAGUUGGAUCACCGUUGUUCUAAUGAUUUCUAGCGGUGGUGGUUUCCUCAGAAACCAGUGGUAUUCUAAAAGCUAUGUGCCUAGUGUCAAAAGUCAGUUGGCCAUGGAUGGCCAGAUGUUUAAAGAUAGUGUAGUUUGAUGGUCAUGAAUUUUUCCCAAACCUCCAGAUAUGAACCAAGUCGAUAUAGCUAUUGUGAAUGCCAGGAUGGAUCAUGUCAUAUGGCUUAGGCAUGGAAAUAAGAAAUUUGUAUGUGAAAAUAUAUCUUAAAAAAGUUUAAAUUAUUGAAAAUCGAGUUUAGGGUUCUUGGUGAGGUAUGUGUAAUACAGUAUUUAGAACUUCAAAUUUCUUACUGAUUUAGAUAAUAAUACAAAUAUGCUUAUUUUCUUUGUUACAUUUGUUUCAUUGGUAUAGACAAGAAUAAGAAAAGCUUGCCUAAGAAUCAGCAUAUACAUUUCUGUUAUCUAAUGCUGUCACUGGUAUUUCUUUUUACAAAAGAAUGUUCCCAUCUUCUCUGAAUUUGAUAAUGUUGGCCAUGAGUUACAUAAUGUGCUUUGGAGGGGUUCUGGUCUGUACAACUAAACGACAAAAAUUAUACUGAUAUUUACAAAAAUCAUACUGAUAUUUAAUAAAUGCAGAUGCAUAUGAUGGUCACGAGUAGCCAAGAUAGAUGCAUUGGUAGUUGGAAGAAACACAAGCAAAACAAACUCGAAAUGUGGUAAUGUCUUGACUCAGGUUAGCUGCUCUUCACUCUAAAAAAUAAACUGAUACAUUUGUUAUUCCUGAAAUGAUGACAUCAUUCCUUCAUAUGGUUGUUUUCAUUUCUUUUGGUUUAUGUUCAACUCAAUUUACAGAUGUUCCUUGUGUUCUAGUUGUUAUUUCAGAUGAGUGGAUUAUUUUUGCCCUAGUAUAUUUUGGCUGGUCCAAGAGAGCGGAGGGAUAGUAAUAAAAUGUUCUUUUCAAGUCUGUCAUAGGAGCUGAUAACCUUGUCUUCUUUUUUCUUUUCCCAAUAUUGGUGUCCAAGAUUCUUCGGAGCAAUUCAUUAAAUUCUGACAAGUUGAUUCUUCAAAAGCUUGUGAAUAGCUUAGACUCCUGAAUAUUUUGUUGUAGCAUUGACAGUCUUACACUGGUUAUUAUUCCGAUUAUUGUUACUAACAUGGGCUUUCCCUUUCAAGAUAUUAUUGGAGAUGGUGAGAACAUAUCAGAUUCCUUGGAAAAUUAUGCCUCUUAAAUUCUUUGAAUUGACUGGUUAAGUUCUUGAGGUUUUGGCUUUGCAAAUAAAGAGGUUUAACAAUUAUCACAAUGUGUCCUAGGUUAGUUAUUUCUUCUUUGAAGAACUUUGCUCUGAAUGGCACUUGCAAAAAAAAUUUCAUAAGGAAAUAAUUUAAACUUUAUUUUGAGAAAAAGUAUGAGGUGGUAAUAGUGGUAAUACUCAGUGACUAGGAGCAGUGUUAAAUCUUUAAAGGAAUACUGAAACGGAUGGCCCAAACCAUGAUAACAAGUAAAAUUGCAAUGAACCAUUUCUUGAAAAGAAUCUGUGUUGGGGAUCUAUAAAUGAAAUAUUCACAAGCAAGGUGCCUAGGAGGAUGAUAAAAGGGUCUCCUGAAGAAGGCCUUAAGAACAACAGCAGCAAUAACAACAACUAGUUGUAAUGACAGUAGCGAUAACAACUAGUUGGAAUGACCCAACUAUUUGAGAUCAGCUAUGUAGAUCUUUUAUCGUCAUUGAGCACCAUAAAUCUAGAGUGAUUACCUUAUGUAUGAUUAAUUGCACAUUAUCAGGCAAUACUAGAGUGAUAACUUAGUUGAUCAUGCUAAGUAUCUAUAUCAUGAAUGCGUCGUUUUAGUGCUAACAUUAACUUAUAGCAGUUCAUGCAGGACAUGGGACCAACAGGCUUUUUGGUAGACCUAUUCUUCCUAGAGGGUCCUCACGAUUGAGAUAAGACUUUUUGGUAGGACAUUCAGCUUUGGAAACUUCCAUGUUUGAUUACAAGAGGAGUAUCCGAAGGACAGUUAAGAUUCUGAUGCCUCUUUGCAGCAGAUCUCCUGAUACACGUCUCGUAUAGAUUGCAGGAAUUCUCAGUUACUCAACUCAACACUGCACUCACUUCUGCAGCUUGUGCUUCCUCACAACUGCACACUGGAGCUAGUUGGUUUCCCGGACAAGAUUGAAGACUUUCGACCUAGUAGAUUGGAAAAACAAUAUGGAUGCAGUUGCCUCCAAGUUAUAUCAUUUAUUAGUUCCUUUCUGGCAAUGAUACAAGAUGGGGACCAGCUUGAUUGCUUUGGAAAGUUGAACCUCCUCCAAAGUCUGCUGUGAAAAAUGUGCUUUUUCCUCAAAAAAACAUAUAUAUAUGAUGGAUAACGGCCAAAGCCUGGAUUUCGAGCAGUUUCUUGUGAACCCUCUCUGCGUUGAGCUGUUCGGGAUCAAGUAUGUAAUAAUAUACCAAUCAAUCCGAAUUUAUCAAUCAUCCUUCAUUCAUAAGCAGUUCAGUGUCCGAUGGAUUGUUGCUUUUUCUGGCUGAUACUAUGGUGGGAAUUAAAGCUUUUGUCCUAAAGCUGGACAGCAAAUGCAACUAUUUUGCUUCUUCAUGGCUGUUGCAAUGGAAGUAUCCAUCACAGGAAGUCCAAAAUGAACAAGUUCAGCAUGAAGACCGAGCCACACAAUUCCCUCGCUCAUAUGGCUCAGAUGAAGGUGAAUUCUUUUGUCCUAAAGAUUAUUUCUGGACUUCAAACGCAGCUAUUUUGUUUCUUCAUGGCUGUUGCAAUCGAAUGACAUGUUCCAUUUACUAUCUCAAAGUUUUGAUUAAGCAUGAUGAUUGUGCUCAUCCUUGUGUCAGCAAUGCUAAUUCUUUUUAGGAGUGCUUUCAUCACUUUCAUCACAGAUAAUCUCACCACUAGUUGGAUUUGCUUUCCAACUCAGUGACCACUCAAAUGUUGCUCUCAGUGGCACAAAGUUCCAAGCCAAUUUGUAAGGAGUGGUGCCAAGAAAACCAUGACAGAUGAAGGAUGUUCUUAUCAGCAUCCGAAGUUAGAAAACCUGAUCAUCAUUGAUCUCAAGAUUGACGAGAAAUCUCCCUUAGCUAAGCUGAAAUUGACCAGAAACCGCAAGCCUGAAACAUGAGUCAACAAGAACCAGCAACAUUUGGAGUUAUAUAUUAUAAUAGUUUAUUAUCGAUAAAGGUUUUAGCUAUUUUGGAUACAUUCAUAAAGUGAAAAUAAGAUGAUUAAAAGAUAAAAAUUUUGCUUAAGUGAUUAAAUAAAAAUAUAAAAUGUAUGUUAGAUUAGUCAUGCUUUAUUAAAUUGAGUACAAAUAUUUUAAAAAAUAAUAUAAAAAUAGAUAAAUAUGUUGAGAUAAUUUGUGACAAAUUCUUUAAUAGAAUAAAAUAGCAGCGAAUCAUCUAAAAUAAUAAAAGCAUAUUCGAAGAAGACAUACAAACGCCGUGAUUGUUGAUUUAACUUAGAAUAUUAUUUCUGCGCUGAUGCCGUGUCUGCUACUGCGCUCAAGAAAAAGAGGUUGCCAUUUAUUAUCGAUCUUUUGGUUGGCUGUCUCUCACCGAUUGCUUCUGCCUUCCUUGUCAUCAUCCACAAAAGGACAAGCUUGGAGGCUUGCCUUGGAUAAGUUUAAAUUGGGUGAAGCGAGAUCAAACUUCUCUUCCUCUGGAUUGUGACCUCCACACUUUUGACCCGGUUGUGCUUGCAAGGAUGGGAGAUGAGAACCAGCAGGUGGUCGAUGCACCAGGACAAGAGAGUCAUUGUCUUUGGGACAAUUCAGCCACCAUCGAGUUCGUCCUUCCAGAGAGAGAGAGAGAGAGAGAGAGAGAGAGAGAGAGAGACUGAUGGUUGAUACUUGAAUUGGUCCGUCAAAGAUUUCAAUUGGACUUGGUGAUGAUCAUGCUUAAUCUGUCAAUGCAUCGAGAAAGAACAUGUAGUAAUCGUCUCUUAUUGCAAUCAGUGACACUAUAGGAUGUAAGCAGCUAGAAGAUUCAUUCUAUUUGUCAACAAGAGCGGCUUAAAGAUUCAUUCUAUUUGUCAACAAGAUUCAUAUUUUAUAAAGUUGAUGUAAACAUAAAAUCUAUACUUAUGCUUGUGUGAAAUAUUUUAAUAAUAAAAUUUAAAUUAAAAAAUAAUUCUUUCGAUGACAUUCAUACUCAUCAGACCCUUAUAAGUUAAUCUUAAUCUUGCCCACUUUGAAUAUGAGACUAAUUAGGAGUCUAACAAAGCUCCACGCUGUGACGAAUCCUCUAACUCCAUCUAUAGGGAACCCUUGACUAAAAUAUUUAAGUUGAAGUUGAUAUUAAUACACUCAUCAGACCCUUAUAAGUUAAUCUUAAUUUUGUCCAUUUUCGAUGUGGGACUAUCAGGGGUGUUACAGUCACUAUGAGCGAUAGAUUAAGGAUAAAAAAAGAUGAGAGAAGAUGUGCAAUCUUAAUAAUAUCACGUAUUCAUAUCUCCUAUGAAUUUCGAGUCCCUAAGAUGUCUUUUUCUUUUAUAAGCAAAAGUAUAAAGUCUAAAAUAAAUAAUUAUGAAAGUCUCCCAUCAAGAUCAUCUUCUAAAGAAUUCUAUCAUAAUUGAACAUCCUUAUUAUUGAUCGAUAAUCAUAAUCAAAAUUUAAUCAUAUUUAUAAUAUAUUUUACUUGAGUCAUAUAAUCUAAAAUUUCAUUCAUGCAUGCAUAUAUGUAGCUCUAAGACAAUAGAAAUUUUUUUCUUUUUAUCUUUCUUGGUAAAGGUAAAAAAGAUAUAAUCAUUUGACCUAAUCUUUAUAUUAUUAUUUACUAAUGUAUUUUGUGUGUAAAAAUUUAUUGAAUGAGAUUUUAAAUUUUAAAUUUUUAUUAAAUAAAUUUUAUUCAUCAUCACAUAAUCAAUAUUUUAAGUAUAAAAUUUAUCAUAUGCCAUUUUAGGUUUUAUAUACUAUAAAAUUCAAUUACUAUAAUAUAUAUAUAUAUAAUAUUGAGUAUAAAACUUGCAGAUAUUAUGGUUAGAAGAUGCGAAAUAAUUAUUAUAAAUAAUAUAAAAAAUAAAUAUUAAAAUAUUAACUUAAUAAAUAAUUUAAUUUUUUACAUAGCUCAAUGAUAAUAAGAGAUUAAUGCAAGUGACUCCAAAUAAUUCAGAGAUUACUAUCUUAUUAUUGUAUUAGUGUCGUUGUUGAUGAACCAACGUAUAAUUAAUUUCAUGCCACUCAUUUCUUUAUGUGGCCAUCUAACACUAGAAUCAUACACCCAAACAAAACACUUUUAUCUGGCCACUCAUCUCUUUCCUGUCACUCGUCUCUUUGUAUACCGCCGAAUUAGCUCUGAAUCAUAGCAGCAAAGAAAGAGAGUCAGCGUUCGUGAGAGAGAAAGAAAGGGGAGUGACUUGUCGUUGAUUUCAUGCCACUAGUCUCUUUGGAUAACCAAUCUAACUAGCACUAUAUCAUACACGCAAAGAAAGACACCUACAGAGAGAGAGAGAGAGAGAGAGAGAGAGAGAUAUGGCAGAGAGGAGACUCCUCUCUCUCUUUGGGACAGAGAGAGCAAAGGGAAGGACUGCCUACAAGCUGUUUGCCAGCUCCAUGCUUGUGAACAUUUGCCUGGUCUUGUUCUACAGAGCAACCAACAUCCCCGGAAGAGGGGAACAAGGGAGGUGGGCAUGGAUGGGGAUGCUUGCAGCAGAGCUCUGGUUCACUUUCUACUGGAUCAUCACUCAGUCCGUGCGUUGGAAUCCCAUUUAUCGCCACACCUUCAAGGAGAGACUCUCUCAGAUGUAAGUCACAUCCACUCUCUCUCACUUCCCUCUCUUUCUACCUUGUUUCUUCUAUACAGUUCUUCAUAAGAAGUGAAUAUUGAAUUGAUAGAUACAAAUGAUAGGAUUAUCACGUAAAAUAAGGUAAAAUAUUUUAUCUUUUAUUCAAUUUUUUUUAUAAUUAUAAUACUCUAUAUGUUUCAUAACAUGAAUGAAAUCCUUCUUUGACGACAACUCGAUCUCUCGACUCAACUGCACAUGUUAGAAAGUAGCUAUUAGAACCUCGGAAGAUAGAUCAUAAACUCUAUUCAGAUGCUUCCAUAUCUUGAUUGUGAAGUCAGAUUCUAUUCUUGAUUAAGGAUUACUGUUUUCCUGGUUGACCAAAACAAAAAAAAAACAUAUUUACUGAUUAUUAUGCUGAAAAGAAUAAUAUUACCAUAACCUUGUUUUGUUACACCAACGAGAAUAAAAUAUGUCCUUCUAAAGUAGGUGAGUGAUGCAUCGAAUGGUUGUUGAGAGAGAGUAGUUGCCGAGACAACUAUAUAAGCUGCAAGUGAUCUCCUUGUAGAGAUUGACCUUGUCUUCGAGGUUCGAUCUACUUAUAGAGAUAUGAUCUGAUAGUUGGCAUCAAACUUUGGAGGAGUCCCCACACAUCAAUCAUCUUUGUCAACUAAGAUGACACUGCAGGUGACCCUGCCAUUUCCAGUUCCAGAAAUCCUACACGACCAAACAACGACACAUUGCAAUAUUUGGAGUGUUCUUUUCCUCCUUCGUUUAUGGUCUUUCGUCUUUAUCUGACGGAAUCCUCCACUGUUGGUUUGAGCAGAUGAACGAAAAUAUUAAACUAAUAUUUGAUUGAUUAUUUAUUGGUAAAGAUAUUUAAGUAUCUUAUUAUUAAUUUGAAAGAGAAGAAAAUCAUAUAAUUUACAUUGUUCUCUAAUCUACUUGAUAUAUGUUUCUUUAAUUAUCAUCUGCCUACCAUCAUCAUUAUCUUUUAUUUUUAUAUUCUUAUCGAUAAAACUAAUAACAUUAAGAUAAUAGAAUUAGAUGUUUCACUUUUAUAAUCAUAAAAUUUUAAUAUAAAUUAUUUAAAUAUAAGAACUGAGUUAUCAAAAAGAUGAAGACUGCUCUGUAUAUCCAUCAGUACCAACAUAGUUGACGAAAAGUGACCUUUUCGUCAAUUAUGUUGGUAUUGAUGGAUAUACAAAGCAGUCUUCAUCUCUUGUUAUCACUCUCCUCAUCCACAACCGUCACCUCGAGCGACGCUUUCGUUGCUCUACAUCUGUGUUAGUGUCGACUUAAUUGUCGAGUGGUUGAAAGAUCGCCAACACAAAUAUAGAGUGGGCUGCUACUCUCCUCAUCUACAAUAACUACUCAUGGUCCCUAACGAUUCUACCAUUCACUACCACCGACGUUGUUUGUUGUUAUCAAUUAGAACAGUAAAAUUAUCUUUUUGCCUUUUGUUUUCAUUUUUCUUUCGAUAAGAUCAAUGACGUUAGAAUAUUUAUACUGUGUUAGUAAAAAUUUAUAUUUAAUUAAAUUAAAAAAUAUUUUAACUAUUAUUUAUAUUUUUAAUAUAUAUAUAUAUAUUUUAAAUCAUUAAUAAUAAUAAUUUUAUAUCAUUUUAAAAUUUUAUUUUAUUAUUUAUUGAAACUAUAUUUAAGAAUAUAUAUUUUUUAUUUUUUAAGAACCCGAUUCAUUCAUCCUAACAUUAUCCAAUACAGCAUAGGAUCACUUUUAUGGAUAGAGCCCAUCGCUUAUAUGGAUUGGGCUUCAAGGGGCCCAUGUAUGUGACGAUAAUAACAAUAACCGUCAUCAUUUUGUUGCCACUAACUGCAGAGAUGCCUCCGAGCUGCCGGGGCUGGACAUCUUCGUGUGCACCGCCGACCCCGUGGCGGAGCCGCCUGCGCUGGUGAUCUCCACCGUGCUGUCGGUCAUGGCGUACGACUACCCGCCGGAGAAGCUGAGCGUGUACCUCUCCGAUGACGCCGGAUCGGAGCUGACGUUCUACGCUCUCUGGGAGGCAGCACAGUUCGCGAGGCAUUGGCUCCCCUUCUGCAGGCGGCACAAGGUCGAGCCACGGUCACCGGCAGCCUACUUCUCAUCCCGUUCCCACCCUUGCGAUACCUGCAACGACACUGAGCGGUCCUACAUGAAGGUAGCAAUUGUCUAUGUGAAGGAACGGUCGACGACAUGAUAGUUAAUGAUUGACACAAAUUCUUGCAGAACCUAUACAAAGAAAUGGAAAGCCGCAUAGAUGCCGUUGUCAUGCUUGGGAAGGUACAUGAAGAUCUCAGAUCACGGAAAGGCUUUUCAGAAUGGAAAUCUGGGAUGACAUCCAGGAAUCAUCAGCCUAUUGUUCAGGUACAAGUGUCGUCAGCAGCACGAUCAAGAUGAGUCUACUGCCAUCUUGUCAUUGUUAUUCUUUGGUUUCCCUCGUAGAUCUUGACAGAUAGCAGUGACAAAAGUUCGGUCGACGAUGAUGGCACUGUGUUACCAACAUUGGUGUACAUGGCACGCGAGAAGAGACCGCAGCACCAUCACAACUUCAAAGCUGGCGCCAUGAACGCUUUGGUAACCUAACCUUGAUUGCUUUACUUUCUUGCACUGCAACCUGCUCAGGUAAAGACUCGAGCAAUUACUGUACAUUCCCUAACGUGUAGAUAAGGGUGUCUUCAGUGAUAAGCAACAGCCCGGUCAUCCUCAACGUGGACUGCGACAUGUACUCCAACAACGUGGAGUCCAUCAGAGACGCACUGUGCUUCUUCCUGGAUGAAGAGAAGGGUCAUGACAUUGGCUUUGUGCAGUUCCCUCAGAACUUUGAGAACAGCACCAAGAAUGAUCUUUAUGGCAAUGCCUUUAAGGUGAUCAAUGCGGUAAGAGCGACAUGCAGAUCGAGUGUUUGAAACGCUACGUACUCUUCAUAGCAUCAAAUAGAUGUCAGGCAAGAGCUAAAUUGUGUGCAAUGUGGAUGGGCUACAAGGUGGAGCUUGCCGGCUUGGAUAGCUGGGGAGGACCUUUGUACAUCGGCACUGGAUGCUUCCACAGAAGAGAGGUCCUCUGUGGGAGAAAGUACAGCAAGGACUACAAGGAAGACUGGAAAAGAGAAACUAAGAGGAAGAAGGAAGAUACUGCCUUCAUCUUGGAAGAGCGAGCCAAGUCUCUUGCCACUUGCACCUAUGAGCACAACACUCCUUGGGGCAAUGAGGUCUCUCUCUCUCUCUCUCUCUCUCUCUCUCUAUAUAUAUAUAUAUAUAUAUAUAUAUAUAUAUAUAUAUAUAAUGUUUUCAGAUGAAUAAGCUGCAACUCUGGGAUGACAGAUGGGAUUGCAGUAUGGAUGUCCGGUAGAGGAUGUGAUCACAGGAUUAGCAAUUCAAUGCAGAGGUUGGAGAUCCGUCUACUUCAAUCCUCCAAGGAAAGGUUUCUUGGGUGUUGCUCCGUCGACACUGGCAGAGACACUGGUGCAGCACAAGAGAUGGAGUGAAGGGAACUUCCAAAUCUUCCUCUCCAAGUACUGCUCUUUCCUACAAGGCCAUGGGAAGCUAAAGCUAGGACUGCAGAUGGCCUACUGCAUCUAUGGCUUGUGGGCACCAAAUUCCAUCCCAACUCUCUACUACGUUACCAUCCCUUCCCUGUCCCUCCUCAAAGGCAUCUCCUUAUUCCCAAAGGUAGGCCACAUUGGAUUCUCCAUCAAUUCCACCUUUGCAUGCCCCAGUACUAACUUAAGCUGAUUUCUUUACGCCGAACUUAGGUCUCCAGUCCAUGGAUCAUCCCCUUUGCCUACGUCGCCAUAGCCAAGAAUGCGUAUGGCUUGGUUGAAUCCCUGGCAUGUGGUGAUACCUUAAUUGGGUGGUGGAACAUACAAAGAAUGUGGCUGCUGAAGAGGAUCACCUCGUAUCUCUACGGCACGGUUGAUGCCAUCCUCAAGGUGAUGGGGUUCCCCAGGACAGGGUUCACGAUCACGGCGAAGAUGGCGGACGCGGACGCCUCCAAGAGGUACGAGCAGGAGAUCAUGGAGUUCGGCUCGACAUCGUCGUCGCCGAUGUUCGUCGUGAUCGCCACGACGGCGUUGCUCAACCUUCUCUGUUUGGUGGUUGGGUUGCAGAGGCUGGUCGCAGAUUGGGAUUUUGGAGACCAGUUCUUGAUCCAACUUCUUCUUUGUGGAGUGGUAGUGGCUCUGAAUCUUCCCAUCUAUGAGGCACUCUUCUUGAGGAAGGACAAGGGAAGGAUGGCUCCUGCUGUCACAUACAUCUCUCUUGGAUUCACUGCUUUGGCUUAUCUACUUCCUAUAGUGUAGUCUUCUAAGACCUUUACGCUACACGAUAGUAUCUAAACAUGUCAAAGACUCUCAAUGUCAUUACUGCAGUUUCAUGGGCCUCUCUUUCUGCUCAUAUCUCCUGGUGGUAAACGUCAGUACUGCGGUUCGUAGACUAGUCUGAAGCUUUGGAUUUAGAUUCUGUCAUUGUUGUUUUCUUCCUUAUAUUGAUAAUACCACAAUAUAAGAUCUCAGGAACUUUACUGGAUUGGCAUUUCAAUCGUAGUAGAUAAAUUAGUCGAUGAGAUCAAACUUGGAUCUCAUGGACCAAGUCCCAACUAAGGCACACCUCAAGACGCUCAACUAUAAGUGAGCCAUACACGACUAGAAGAUCCCUGGCUGGUCAUAUGAAACACAAAGAGGAAUAUAUGAAUACUGAUGUUGCUACGGUGGCUUCUCACUCACCGGCUGACACAUGAAAAGUGCGAGCAGGAGGAGGAGUCUGUCAUCAAGCUUGACAUUUUUUGGCAUGUUGACGCAUCUUCCUCCACCUCCGAGUAAGGGUCCUCGGGCUUCACGCGUGUAAUGACCAACUUAUACUCAGACUAGAGGUAACACCGCACGAAGGGAGUCCUUUCUUGAAGCCAGUUGAUUUCUUAUGCUCAGCCAUCGUCUCCUUUGGCACAGUACAGGCAAAGAGAAACCUCGGCUCGGGUAGCGCAUGAUCACAUCUCCCCCCACUUUUUCCUCAGGAUUCUUAAUGCACCUGCACAGCUAUAGGCUCUCAUCACGUAGCCCGUCGAUUCUCGAAACAAAAGUUGUGGUAUUGUUUGGAAAAAUUAUUAUAACAGAAUAUUUUUUUCUCUUUGUAUAUCAAAAUAAAUUUUUCAUCAAAAUAUUAAUUUAUUAUUAAAAAUAAAUAUUAAUCAGAGCAGUAUAAACAAUAGAAUAAUGAAUCAAUCACAAAGUAAAACACUAAAAUUUUACGUGCAAAACUCAAUGCGGAAAAAAUCAUAGGAUCGUAGUCCACUUCAAAUCUCCACUAUCACUAAUAAUGAUAAUAAGUUUACAAUAAUUUUUUUUCAAAAUAAGUAUAAGAUCACAAUAAUAUUAAGAAUAUGGAUCUUAGUUCAACAAUAACAUAUCAUCAUCCUCGUAGGAUUUCAUCAAAAUAAAAAAAAUUUAGUCUUAUCAAGUAAGUAUACCAGAAAAGCACAUUAGAGAAGGCAAAUCAUAGAUCGGCACUAUUAAAAUUGUGAAGCUUAUUGUAAGGAUUCUUUUUCAUAAAAUUUAGACCAAAACUGAUGAAGUCUAAUGAAAGCUUCAAAAUAAAGUUUAGUUACUUGUUCAUUCAUCCGCCUCAGACACCUCUUUAAUAAAUUAAAUUAAACUCAAUACUCAAAUCAUCCUAUCCAAAUCCACCUUAUGGGCUAGCCCCAACAGGUAUGAAUCUCUGGUGUUGCUUCACAUAACUCAUCCCGAGUUGAAGAUGCUACAAAAUUGCAUCAGGAGUAUUUUGUCAGGUAUUUGUGAUGCGUAGUCUCAAAGAGCUCAAGAACAUGUGUUUAGCUCCAAGAGUCUCAGGUGUUCAGAGAUAAUGCGCAUAUACAAAGAGAGAACUUCGUUUUAUACGCCUCAUAAAUAAAUACAUACCUGAAAGACCCUUUUAUAUAUACAUAGAAAAUAUCUCCUCAUAUAGCCUCAGGUUAUGGUACCAGAAAGUGUAUUUCAUUUUGACUGUGCAUGCUUGUGUGGUGUCCAAUCAUCAUCUAUAGGUGAGACAAGGUGGCACCAUGUCAUUGCCUUGCUAAGUGAGCCCUUUGGCCUAUUAUGCGCCACGUUUCAAACUUUAACUAUUUUAUUACCGUUUAACUGUGUACCACAUGUCGUUUGACUGUUAAAUCUAGUCAUAUUAUUUGACCCCAUUAUCCCAUUAUGCUUAGAAAAAUAGUUUGCAUGAGAAACAUAAAGGUAUUUGGGCAUUCUAACUUGAACCCUUAUGUAGGGAGUAUUAAAUGUAUAUGACAUGGGAGGGCAUCGUGGCGUAUUGAGUUGAGAUGUUCAUGUAAGAGUUAUUCGAUGGAUAAAAACAUAAGAGCAUCGAUACGUACUAACUUGUACCUCCUAUGUAGGAGGUGUUAGAUACACAAAGGUAUUAGGGCAUGCCAAUGGAUUUCUUAGAUGUAUGAGAGCAUUUAGACAUGCUAACUUCCCACUCAUAUAAAGGAUGUUGGAUCCAUGAGAUGCAUGAGUGUGUCUAGGCAUAUCAACAUGUAAGGGAUGUUGUAUGCAUAAUACACACUAGAACAUUUAGUUAUGUCGAUUUGAAUCACUCGUGUAGCUGGUGUGAGGUACAUAAGACACAAGAGAAUAAUGGGGCAUGUCGAGUUGAACUGCACAAGUAAGGGAGUCAAGAAUGCGUAAGACAAAUAAUGAUAUUGGGGUAUGUAUACUAAAACAACUUGUUUAGGGGGGAUCCAAAACAUUAAGUUGUUUGUAUGAGUUAACUUGAAUCACCUACACAAGAUAUGUGAGGGUAUCAGGGUAUGCCAAUUUGAAUUACUCAUAUAGGACUAUUAGAUACAUAUCGAUAUUAGGGAGAAACAACAUUAACCACCCAUUUAAGGGAUGUAAAAUACAUACAAUGCAUGAGACCAUUGGGACAUACCAACUUCAAUCUCUCAUAUAUCUGAGUGUCAAAUACAUAUAUGAUAUUGGGGUAUGUAUGCUAAAACAACUUAUCUAGGGGGGAUCCAACACAUGAGGUUGUUGGUUUGAGCUAACUUAAAUCACCUACAUAAGUGUGAGGGUAUCGGGGAAUGCCAAUUUGAAUUGCUCAUGUAAGACUAUUAGAUGCAUAUCGAUAUUAGGAAGAAACAACAUUAACCACCAAUUUAAGGGAUGCAAAAUACAUACAAUGCAUGAGAGCGUUGGGACAUGCCAACUUCAAUCUCUCGCAUAUCGAGUGUCAAACACAUAUAUGUGUUGUCACAUGAUCAUUGGCUGGCGCUCAAAUGGCCCUCCAAGGUGUGCCAAAUUAAAACACUAUAGUAGGGAGUAUUAGAUACAUGAGGUGCAUGAGUAUGUCGAGUUAUAAUAACUUGAAACCUUCGUGUAGAGGUGUAAAACAAAUUAGAAACACAAGAGCAUCAAGUCAUGCUAACUUAAACUACUCAUGCAGGGAGACUUUAGGUGCAUAAGAUGCAAGGGUGUCAGAGUACCGACAUGAACUAUCAUUAUCAUUAUUGAGGUUGUUGGACACAAGAAAUGCAUGAGUGCUUUCAAACUUGCCAACUUGAAUCACCAGGAUUAUGAGGCAUAAAGAACGUUUAAGAUACUAAUUCAUCAGCUUAUUUGAGCUCACAGGGAAUUCUUGUCCCCUUCUCCUUCGUGCUCUUACCAUCAUCUCGAUGUUCCAAAGCCAAACCAUCAAAUCAAGCAAAAUGGUGUAAGAUCAAAAGGACAAAUCCAGAAAAUGGUUAAGGGGACUAUGCAAUCAGACAGACGUAAACUUCGUCUGUGAUGUCACCUUAUUGAGUCGAAUCCACUAAACUACAAUCGUAAUUCUACUAAACCUUCCCAUAUAAGAGUUUAAUUUGCCCACCACAUGAAGCUUCUCUCCGAGACUCCAAUUUACUUGGUGAACUCCAUCACCGACAUACCCGCAAACGUAGCAGCAGCAUUGAAUCCGGCGAAGCCGGCUUCCGUUGCCAAGGCCCGGAACUCCUCCUCAGUUCUCUCCUUCCCUCCGAUGCAGUGAGCCAACAUGACGAGGUCCAACUGGAAGACGAAUUGGGCUUGUGCAGUUGCCGCCGGAGCCACCGGACGGAUGUAUUCCACCACCAACACCUUCCCAUUCUCCGGGAGACUCUUCCGGCAAUUCUUCAGCAACGUCACACAGAGAUCGUCACUCCAAUCAUGAAGAAUCCACUGCACCCUCAGAAUCACUCGACGUUAGCAUUUUUGGAAACCAAUGCUCAUUCAAUAAAAGUCUACGUCGACCUAACCUUCAAGAAAAUGGCGUCUCCAGAGGGAACACUGUCGAACAUGUCUCCACUGACGUGCUGCACUCCUGCAACCAAACCAUACCACGAAAGAAUGAUUAGACGCCUGUUGAUGAUGAUUACAGAGACUGAUGGAAACGCACCUGGAAUCGGUUGUGCGGUGGAGAUGACAUGGGGGAGGUCGAAGUUGAUGCCCUUGACGUGGGGGUGCUGGGAGGUGAUCAUGCGGAGGGUGGCGCCGUCAUUGCCGCCGACAUCGACGAGCACGUUGAUCCCGGCGAAGCCGUUGUAGUUGCGGAGCAGCUGCUUGAUCAUGAUGCCGGAGUGGCUCAGCAUCCCCUCGUUGAACACCUUACUGAACCGUGGAUCGGUGCCCAUGUAGUCGAACGCCGACAUGCCGUAGGCGGCCUCCACAGGGUGAACACCGCCCAACACCGAUUCCUUUACGUGGUGCCUGCCAUCAAAAACUUUAACUAAGAAAGACUAUCCAAAUAAAUUAAAAUUUCAAUAUACUAUCUUAAAAAAUCAUAAAAUUUCUAUUAAAUCAUGAAAAAAAAAUCAUAAAUUUAAUUUAAUAUUUCGACGUACCAUAUAUCGAUGUUGAUCUUGUCGUGCUCCAACAAAGCAUACUUCGCUAUGGAGCCAUCCUCGUUCGUAAUCAAGUACUUGCAGACGGGCUUCAUGCUGUACUUCCUCAAACUGCGACCAUCGGCGGAGACGACGGUGCAGGUGAUGACAUCGUUGGCAGCGAGUAAGCAGAGAAGCCGGUCCACCCAGUUGGCCGCCUGCGGGUUCUUGGCCGGCAGCUGGGCAGCGAUUUCCUCCGCGCUCAGUGCACCGCCUGGGUCAGCUCCGACGAUGAUCUCGAAUAGGCCGAGCUCGAUGGCCACCUUGAGGGUCAUGGGGAAGAUGACGACCGACGACAGUUGCAGUGCGCGCUGGCAUGCCUCUUCCUCCUCCUCGGGGGUCAACCGCAGCACCUCCUUCAUGGCCGCCAUUAGGAGUUUGCUAUCACAGGACGAGUACGUGAUCUGUGUUUAGGUGGAGGAGAGCGAGGAGGUUCGUGCUGACUUUAUAGUGUGCUAAUAAUCCUCCAAAGAAUUCAAUUGAAUCUUAUCUCCUUAAUAUUAAAUCUUGCUAAACGACGCAUAUACUCCAUAUACAGAAUGUUUUUGGCAUCCUAAUUAUGUUGAGUAGGUUAGCAUACAUGACACAGUUAUAAUCCGAUCGUCUAUAGCUUUAUUAACGGUAUACCUGUUUCGAAUAAUAAGUAAAAAUUGAUUUUUGUAGAACCCAAUUAUUAUGGAGAGAGCAUUAUAACCUUCCCAUGCGAUACAUAUGGUCAAGACAAAAUAUGCAUUGGAUUUGGAUGGACUCUUUAUAAUUUACUUUUGUUGAAAUUAAAUAUGUUCAUUGUAUCAAGAGGAAAAAUACAUUAAGAGGAUAAUAUAAAUUAACUACUAUUUUUGAAAGAGUUUUUUUUGGAAACAGUGAUUCAUAUUAAAUGUAACGAAUAUAAUAUAUAUAUGGAUGUUAUAUAAAUUACAUGUGUUGGGUCAUGAAAUAUAGAAAGUUUUUGACCGAAACAUAUAAUAUUUUGCCUUCUCCUAUUCUUCCUUUGUGUGAUAGCUCUAACACUUCUCCCUAUCUAGUUCAAUACCUUCUUCAUGUAACCUUGCUUAAACCAACUUACCAUUUAUUCGUUAUAUGUCGAUCAUUCACUAAUUUGAUUGAGACAAAAAGAAAACUUUGAUAUAUACUUGCUAUCUCUCUUCUCUUGCUUAUUUAGUUAUUGUACACUUGAUUAGUUUGUAAAAUAUUUUAAAUAACCAAUUUUAUCCCCCACUUGGUGCCAUUUGGUUUCACUUCACCAUAGACCCUCUUGAGUUGAUAGACUCCAUCAUUCUCUUCCAAAUAACCUCUUAGGUAAAUCUUUAAAAAUUAUUGACAUAAUUGUUAAAGGAGACCGAGGCAAAAUCACUCUCAUAUCAUUAUGUACUUCUUUGCUCCCUGGUUCUUCCCUUCCUCCCAAGCCCCUUUUGUCUCAUCAACUACCAAACUAGCAAUCACCAGUUCAUCAGAGUAGGCCGACAAUCACUCCCUCAACUACCUACCGUCCUCGAUGGCCUUGCCUAGCUGCCAGCAAGCAUCCUUCAACUCCUAGCAUAGGACUUAGACCUGCUCCUAAGCCUCUACCACACUCUCUACAGCCUCAUCUUCAACGACAGUCAAUGUGUCCCAAGCCUCCUCCACCUAUGCCUUGACUUCUUCAGUACAACAGAUAGCCAAACCUAGGUCCAAGGAUAGUUCAAAGGUCUCAACCUCCACUCUCCUGAAUGCUUUCGCGAGGCGUUACUCUACCUCCUCGACUUGAAGGUGGGUCCAAGUCAACUGUGAGGAUAACUCUAUAACUCGAGUCUCUGCCAUCCUCCUCUCUUCUUCAGGCCGCUUUGCCUAAGCCCGCUAGGCGGAGUUGGCCUCAGAGAAUUGGCUGAUCAAUGCGUCCACAUCCCACAAACGGUCAACAAGCACCGUCAUGUAGUGAUGGUGCUGCAGGUGCAAGAUGGUUAAAGAAUAAGUCCAAAGAAAAUAACAAAUAUGCUCAAGGGGCCUGACUAGGACUUCAUUGCGAGAGUAGAGGUCGUCCAGUACCCCUGGCAAGCAAUUGUAUAUUAUGCCAGCCAAGGUGGGGCUGAGCAAACCCCGACAAUAAGUGGUGGCCAGCUUGGCCUCCUCCCGUAGUCAUUGGUCCUUGGGCAACCCCUCCUAAUGCGACUUCAAGGGGGCGCUCGAGGAUGGAGCCAAGCGGCCGAGCAUAGUGGAAACGGACGAUUUGAAUGUGAGGAAGCUCUAGUCCAACAAAGGAUUAGUAGAUAGAGGAUGCGGAGGUACGACCUAAGGGCCUUUGGUGGCGUCAUCCUCCCAGGGGGUGGAGGGCUCCUUAGCUGCCUCCUCACGUGAUGACACAAUCGUAGGUGGACCCAAAGAUGGGCCCAAAGAAGCUACAUGAGGAACCUCCCUCACCGGAGAUAAUUGCAGGUUAGGGACUUCCUUAGUAGAUGGCUCCAUAUGUGGAAUAAUGACCACGGGAGAUGGAGCAUUGUGGGGCUAGAGUAGCGAUAUUGGUUUCUCGGAGGCAACCUCUCAGAUGGCUCUAGGGUCAGCCCAAGUAGUGGCCCUAGAGAAGUGACAACAAUAAGAUCCGGACCCCCAAUUGAGGGCCAUAUAAGAGAGACGAGGGGUGGCCAGUGAGAGGCCCCUGCCCCUCAGGUGAUCCUAGCCCAAGAGACGAAGCCACCUCUACCUUCACGAGCAGUGGUUUUGGGGGCUCAAUAGGGCCCCCUGAUGCCUCUUUUGGGGGCUAAGGCGUACAACAUCAUGCUUACCUAAGGACCUCGAAAAAGUCAAAACCCUUGCAAGGGGUUGUAGGUCCCCCUUGAACAGGUCGACGCCAACCUUCGAACUUCUAAAGGCCCCAAUAGGAGGGCCACAAAAGGAGCCCUAGGCCCACGAUGGUCGCUCAACCGUCGAUAGGCCCUCGUUGGGCCCCGAGAAGGGAGUAGAAGGGCACCGCCUCUUCAACUCCCAAAGAUUCAUACCUGCCAAGUGUCCACAGAGCAAGGGUCAAAGACAAAUAAAAAAGAGCCAGAAAAGAAAAAAAAUGACCAUACCAAAUGGGGCUGGAGGAGAGGUGGCCUCCACCGAAUAGGCUUCCUCCUCACGCUUCAUGGCCCCAGAUGAGAAGAACCCCUAUAUCUUGUCUAGGGCCUCGCCUUUGCUCGGAGAUAGAGAAGGCAGUGUGUUGUCUAUGAUAUGUGCUGCCCAAGCCACUAAGAAGCCCCAAUCUUGGCUUUCGUUGACGAUGAAGAAGUGCCUCCUCUACCCCUUACUAUAGAAGAUCACUCCGCUUAUCUUAAACCUCGCACAGGGUGACAGGUAGUAACUACUUAGCCCUUGACUUAGUCGAAAACACCAGCAAAAGAGGUCCCAAGAUGACACCACCUGCACGUCAUCGCAUGCCUUGAGGAAGAACCUCAAGAAACACCAAGAAUUUGGUGUCAUAUGGGAAGGCAAAAUUUGAUAAUAUCCCAAACAAUAAGCCAUCACUGGAGGAAUAGGGAGGCGUAACCCCGCCUCCACAGCAUCAAUGGAAAGGGCAAACCUCGUCCCUAAGGAUAGACAGAACAAACUCUGAUGGAAUCCGAAAGCAAUUUCAUAGUGCCUUUAACUACUACGAGGUAACCACAGAACUAUAGUCGUGAGCCUCCUUCAUUUGCACUAGGUCUCAUAGGACCAUGAGAGUCUCUGAAGGUUCGCUCCUCACAUAUAAAAAGCUCACCUGAACCACCUACCAUAUGUGUAUAAUCCUCUAGGCCCAAUAUCGAACUAGCCAUGAGUCAUACCUAUCAAAACUCUUUCUAACUCAGUAAAUUAUCAUCUCUUAUAAUAAUUCACUUGACUCAUCGACUACAGAUGUACUACGCCACAGUCCAUAGACGAUAUAGGAGAAUCUAAUUCAUUAGACAUAUCUAUCUUCAGUUACCAUAUAUCUAUAAUCCCUCAUCUAUCUAAUAUCUCAAAUAUCGUACACUAAGCAUGAUGCUAUUAGGCCUAUAUAGUUUCUACUCGAGUCUUGCUCUAAUUGGAUUCUUCCGGAGAACUCUUUCUCUCUCAAUCUAUAUAACCCUAGCCAUGGAUUUGUGAGUAAGAAUAUAUAGGAUAUUCCUCUCAUGACACUGAGAGCAGAUGAUUCUCUAUUGACACUCAAUUGCCCUCAUAAGAUUGGUUACCACUUCCGAUGAUCGGUUGUGCUAGAUCUAGAACCUCUAGACCUAUAAGUUUGAUAUUAAAGAGCAGAGUACUCAUAUAGGGCAUCCUUGGUGUUUCAAGUCUAAGGACCAAACACACAAUUAGGACCAUCGAAUCGUUGUAUGACAAUAAGGUAUCAUUAAACAUCUAGUAUUCUAUGAGCGGAUCAAUUAGUGAACUCAUUCUCCAAUGAGCACAAGUACUAUAUCCCUAGUGUCCCCACACGAGAAGCUAUGAGACCAACCGCCUCUAUCAUAUGGAUUGGGUAUACAGCAUAUUAGUCUGUCUAGUUAUCUCGAUGUCUCUCUCGAGUAACCUACGAUCAAGAUUUUUAGAGUAUAUAUUUAAAGAUAAGUCGGUCUCAUUAUCAUGAUAUUUGCUAGUGAUAGGUGUCUUGUAAGCCAAUCACGUGAGUGAUGACACGUGUGACUUGACUUGCUUAUUAUUAUUAUUUGACAUUUGAUCACUUUAUAUUGAUUGUUGCACAUACGCAUAUAUAUUGUGAUGUCCUUAGAUCUGUGCAAUGAGAAUCAGAUCAUGAUGAGAUCACGAUAAUGAGACCAAUUUACCUUUAAACACAAACCCUAAGAAAUCCCAAUCAUAUGUUACUCGAGAGAGACAUCGAGAUUGUCACAUUUUGGAUUUUUUUUUUUUAAUCUUUCCACACAUUUAGGCCAAAUAGAUAAACAUCACUUUAUUCAUCAUUCAUAAACAUUUAUUACAAUUCAUUUAUUCAUCGAAUCAUAAAUAGAAAAAUAAACAUGGUGAUGUUAACUUCAAAAGUCAUCCAAGUGGCUCUACCUAGCGGUAGAGGAAGGUCCGCUCUCCACUGGAAUCUGAUUUAGUACUAGAGGGAGGCUGCUUUAAAAAUUAAAAACAAAGAAAAUUCAGCAAUGCUGAGUANNNNNNNNNNNNNNNNNNNNUAGAAAAAUAAACAUGGUGAUGUUAACUUCAAAAGUCAUCCAAGUGGCUCUACCUAGCGGUAGAGGAAGGUCCGCUCUCCACUGGAAUCUGAUUUAGUACUAGAGGGAGGCUGCUUUAAAAAUUAAAAACAAAGAAAAUUCAGCAAUGCUGAGUAGGAACCCCAAAAAUUAACUCAAAAUGUAUAUAUGAUCAAAAUUCAAUCAAUCAUCUCAUUGGCGUAUAUCAAAUACCCGAAGGAGCACUCCCCCAACAGCGAAUGGAGAGGCUUUACCCUACGGGAUGAGUUUAUGUUCUCCCAACAGCGGAUGGAGUGGUGUCCCACACCCGCCAAAGUGGAGAAACAUUCCUCCCAACAGCGGAUGGAGAAACCGUCUAGCCGCCACGUCUGACGGCCUGCUAAUCCCCUAAGGGAAUCACCGUACCUGCUCUCGGCAGGAAAAUAAUAUAAUCUCAUACUGGUCAUGUCCAUUUCGGGAUGAAAUAACAUAUUUAAAAUGUCUCUUUCAAAUAUCAUCAAUAUCAAGUAAUAUAAAUUAGCCCUUAAUUAACUUGAACUAUAGUUUAAUCGAUUCAAUUGAACUCGAUUUACUAGAGCAUAACUGAACUGAUCUCUAAUCCUUAUUUAACUGGUCUGGAACCACCCUAGACUAGUAUAAUUUAGACUAGAUUAAGUUCAAUUUAGGAUAAACUAACUUGAAUAAGUCAAUCAAUUCGGAAUCACCCUGAAUUGAUCUAGACUAAUCAAGUCUAGUUUAAUUCAAUCAAUAUUUGGGCUCAAGUUCAAUAAUAAUAUUGGGCUAAAUUGAGUCGGUUCAUCUACUGGUCAUGUGUAUUAUACAUGAUUGAGCAUGCAUUACACAAAACUAGCCCAGCCCUGGCCCAUGGACUAGUCAUGUGCGUCGCAUGUGACCGCCCAUAAUGGUUGGGCUGGGGUAGCCUACGGGCCAAGGCCUGACCCGUGGGUUGGGCCUGGCCUAUGAGCAAUUUCAUUCCAAUUAAUAUCCAAUUUCAUAUCAUAGCAUAUACCCAUUAACAAUAUAAAUAAAAACAUAAUAAUGCAUUAAAAGAUAGAUGAGGAGAAAAACUUUAAUACAAAGAAAUAACAUUCUAAAUUUGACUAAAAAUCAUAAGACAUUAAAAGAGGGACCGGAAGAUAAGUUUUAAUACAAGGAAAUAGCCUUCUACAUUCAAAUAAAAAUCAUGUUUUCAACACAUAUAAAAUUUCAACAUAUUCUAGUCAUAUUUUAAAUCAUUCAGAAUACUAUAUUUUAAAUUUCAGAUCAAAGAAUAUCAAAAAGGAUUUUAGAUAACAUAUUUUAAUCUAACAAGAUUUUAAUCCAGAUAAGAUUAAAGAUAAACUGUAAUACAGGAAAUAUCAUAUAAAACAAAUAUAUUUUUAACAUAUUUAACUCUAUCUCUAUAAUAAAAACCUUAAUCAUGGGUCAAAGAAUAUUAUGAAAACUUUAACUAAUUACUUUAAUGCAAAAAUUUUGACAUUUAAAUAAUUGAUACAUAUUUUUCAAACUAUAAAACUUUCAACAUUUAAAGAAACAAAAUAAAAGCUAAAACUUUUAAAUUUAAUAAAGGUAGGGAAACCUAUAUCUUGUCAACAGGGUGUAACUCCUCGUUCCUCCCGUUGAUAGGCUCGACUAGGUGAGGAAUGAAGGAGAGAAAUCCAUCCCUUUAAAUAGGAGGAGGUGAGCCUCUAUUAAGGAAAAUUCAUUUUAAUUUUCGUAUUUAUUUAAUAUAAAUUAUUUUUAUUUAAUAUAUUAACAAAUAUGAUAUCAUCAUAUUUGGAAUACUUAAUAGUUAUUUCCUUAAUUCAUAUCAACAAACAAGGAAGUAGAUUAAGAUUUCCUUAAAUUAUAAUAACAAGUAAGGAAAGAAAAUCAAUUCUUAACUUAAAUAUUUGAUGUGGUUACAUUUCUCCCCUCCUAUAGGAAAUUUGGUCCCCAAAUUUAGUUUUCCUUAAUAGAAUAGAUAAGGAUACUGCUCUCGCAUAUCUUUUUCUCUUUCCCACGUUGUCUCUUGGUCUGAAUGGUGUUGCCAACAAAUCUUUACCAAAGGUAUACUUUUGUUCCUUAAAACAUGUUCUUUUCUUUCCAAGAUCUGGGUUGGUUGUUCUUUAAAAAUGGCAUCAUCUCGUAGUUGUAGAGGUUGGUAAGAUAUGACAUGUGAUGGAUCCCUGAUAUAUCUUCGAAGCAUAGACACAUGGAAUACAUCAUGGAUGCUAGCCAAAGCCGGGGGCAAUGCUAAUCUGUAUGCCACAGAUCCAACCUUUUGUAAGAUCUCAAAUGGGCCAAUAAAUCUUGGGGCUAAUUUCCCCCUUUGACCAAACCUCAUAAUUCCCUUAGUUGGCGACACUUUUAAGAAAACGUGCUCACCAACUUCGAACUCUAGAUCUCUUCGCCUUCGAUCUGCAUAACUUUUCUGACGACUUUGAGCUAUUAAUAAUCUUUGGCGUAUAAUUCGAAUAUUACUAGCAUCUUUUUGAAUUAAUUGAGGCUCCAAAAGUUUUCGUUCUCCUACCUCAUCCUAAUAUACAGGUGAUCUGUAAUUUCUUCCAUAAAGAGCUUCAAAUGGAGCCAUCUGUAUACUAGAGUGGUAACUAUUAUUAUAAAAAAACUCAAUUAGAUGUAAGUGCAUAUCCCAACUCCCACCAAAGUUCAAAGUACAUGCUCUUAAGAGAUCUUCAAGAGUUUGUAUUGUCCUUUCAGAUUGACCAUCAUUUUGGGGGUGAAAGGCUGUACUAAACUUUAACUGCGUGCCCAAAGAUUUUUGUAGACUUCCCCAAAAUUUAGAGGUAAAUCUUGGAUCUCUAUCUGAGAUAAUGCUAACUAGCACCCCAUGAUAUCGAAUAAUUUCCUUAAUAUAUAAGCUUGCUAGUUUAUCCAAUGAAUACUUCUUGUUAAUAGAGAGGAAGUGAGCAGAUUUAGUAAGUCUGUCUACUAUUACCCAAAUUCCGUCAUAUCCUUUCAUAGUCUUGGGUAAUCCUAUCACAAAAUCCAUAGCGACUUGCUCCCACUUCCAUUCAGGAAUCGAAAUCCUUUGCAACUUUCCCGCAGGUACUCGAUGUUCUAUUUUCACCUGUUGGCAUAUUAAACAUUUAGAAACAAACUCUGCUAUAUCUCUCUUCAUACCACGCCACCAAUAGUUUUGGCGAAAAUCUCGAUACUUCUUAGUAGUCCCGGGAUGGAUAUUAAAUUUUGAUCUAUGUGCCUCCUCUAAUAAUUGCAUCAUUACUAGAUGACUUUCGGGAACACAGAGUCGAUUGUGGAAUGUAAUAGAACCAUCUUCGGCUUGGAGGAAUUCGGGUCUAGAUCCAUGAGUUAUUUUCUUAACUAUCAUUUGAAGAUAUGUAUCUUCCUUCUGACCUUCUUUAACCGUUUCCACAAAAAAUGAUUGUGUCAUCAAACACAUAAGAAAACCUUUAUUUGUCUCCGAUAAAAGUUUAAUUUUUAAGUCUGCUAACUUCGUCAUCAUAGAAUUCCUUUGAAUAUUCAUAUAGGCUACAAGACUGUAGGUAUUUCUGCUUAAGGCAUCAGCGACUACAUUAGCUUUCCCAGGAUGAUAGUUGAUAUUAAAAUCAUAAUCCUUUAGAAAGUCCAACCACCUUAUUUGUCUCAUAUUUAAAUCUUUCUAUGCGAAAAUAUAUUUGAGACUAUUAUGAUCUAUGAAGAUUUCGAAUGUUUAUCCAUAGAGAUGAUGCCUCCAAAUUUUCAUUGCAAAAAUGAUAGCUGCUAGCUUUAAGUCAUGAGUAGGAUAGUUCUUUUCAUGAGGCUUUAAUUGCCUCGAUGCAUAAGCAACUGUUCUCUCGUUUUGUAUUAGAACGCAACCAAGCCCUUGUAGUGAUGCAUCACUAUACACUACAAAACCUUC